rnacentral:lncRNA from 1 species
ACACACAGUCCUAACAAGUAUCACAAACGAUGUAAGAAAGAACACACAGUAGAUUCUAAACUUGCAUCACAAACGAUACAAGAGCAGAAUACAUGAAGACUCAAACCCGAAAAAUCUAAACUUUUAGAAUGACGGCUUGAAUGAACAUUAGGUCUUGAAGUCUUCCUUAUAUGCUGAAGCAGCUUGGGCUAAAUAAUUCGUUGGGCUUCAACAAAAUGCAGAUCGGUUCAGCUUAAUCUGCAAAACAAGAAUCAGAAACAAAUCUGGAAAGUCCUAAAAUGUCGGAACAUUUAUAGGAUCGUUCCAAACAAUAUUAAAUAUUUCCCAAAAUAUAAAAUACACUUUAGAAAUAUUCCACAACUGAUUCUUAGAUGAUAUGCGUGUUGCUUGAUCAAUAAGUUAAGGAAAUAUUGUUUCCUUAAACAAUAAAGGGUGCGUGUACAAACAGGUGAAAACUCAGGCACACUGAACCGUGCCAGGAUGUUGGAGCAUCGUAUCCAACAUCUUCCAGAGACGCCUAAACACAUGUUGAAACUUUGGUUCCAACUUAUAGAUCAAGGAUAUUUGUUUUAGCAACAAUGCAGCUAAUAGAAAUACCCAACAGGUUACCCUAAGAACUGUCACUACAACAACUCUAUAUGAGUUAUGGAAGGGAAGAAAACCUACUGUCAAGUAUUUUCAUGUUUUUGGUAGCAAAUUCUACAUACUGGCAUAUAGAGAAUACAGAAGGAAAAUGGAUCCCAAAAGUGAUGAAGGGAUUUUUCUUGGAUACUCUACAAAUAGCAGAGCUUACAGAGUUUUCAAUUCCACAACCACGGUUAUAAUGGAAUGCAUCAAUGUGGUGAUAGAUGAUGUCACUGAAGAAAGAGUUCCUGAUGUUCAAACACCAGUUCAAGAAACAACAUCAGUUCAAGAAACAAAUGCUCCACUUCAAGUGAAUGAUUCUGUAACUAGGAAUGAAAUAAUUAAGCAGACUGAAGUAUUCAUUUAUCUAUGCAUUAGGAGUUUUUUUUUUGUUUCUCAAAAUAUCUUCCAUAUGCAUGUGUUCAGGGGGAGUAGUGGAAUACGUUUAGUAGUCAUUCAUAGAUUCUUAUUUUGAGGGGGAGUGAUACUAUAAUAUGUACUUGAACUUGUUCAAGUUGUUUGACAGGAUCUGGAGUAUGAUGUGCUAAACAUCUUCAUGUUAGUACUCUGUAAGUAUGAGAAAAUUAUUUUUUCCCUUACUAUAUGUGUGACAGGUCCUCCUGUCUGAUGUGGUGAAGGAUGUUGGAAUAUCCAAACCUAUGUGGGAUUUUAGUUAUCCCUGAUCUGUUGACUAUAGCAUAGGAAUUUAUUUUUCUUCUGCUCUUGUGAGACUAUGCUCCUAUCUUAUCCGUUGUUGCAUGUCUCUGAUAUAUGCAAUACCUCUUCUCUCUUAACUCAAAUUCUGUUAAGAGUAUGAUGCUUUCUUUCUUCAUGUUUGUUUGGUUGAAGCUAUGACUAAAGAUUGUGUGAGGUAUUCUUUUCUGCACACUAGUUCUUCUUUAGUGAUAUUGUCUUGCUACUCCUUCUUCUUGAAUAUGUGUUCGUGAUGACUCGAGGAAAUGUAUCUAAGGUGUCUCUUUAGACUGUGUGUGUGUGUGUGUGCUAGCCGUUUCUUCAUAAGUAUGAGUUCAUGCUACUUGAGGAAAUGAAUGUCAGUUGUAUCCCUCUAUUUAUUUGUACUUGGCCUUAAUUUGUUUUAGCCAAAAAUUUGCCAAAGGGGGAGAUUACUGGGUAUUUGUAUUGGCUGCAUUAUUGCUAAAACAAAUAUCCAUGUUUGUUGUCUAGGGGUUUUCACCUUCCAUCAAUGUGUUCUCUAUGCAAUUCAACAGUGGAAUCAUCCUUCCAUCUAUUCUUUGAAUGCACAUACGUCCUUAAUUUAUGGAGAUGAUUUGUUGGAACAAUCAAUUGCACUCUUAACUUUCAAACCAAGGAAGAUGUUUGGGAUUUGUGCAAUAACUCCUGAAAUCCACAAUGUAAGAUUGUUCUUGUUGCUACCCUAAUCAACAUUUUCAACGGUGUUUGGUAUGCUAGAAAUCAACUUAGAUUUCAAAACACAAAAAUUCCUUGGAGAGCCACUCUUGAUGUCACCAAUUUUAUGUUGAGAAAAUUCAGUGUGAAGCUACACCCUCCUUGAGCUCCUCAGGUAAUUGAGGUAAUUUGGAUUCCACUAUCUCCGAAUUGGAUAAAGUGUAACACUGAUGGGUCUACAAAUAGUAAUCAAUCUUCCUGUGGGGGAAUCUUCAGAGAUAGUAAUUCGGAUUUUUUGCUUUGCUUUGGAGAAAACACUGGUUUGGGCAAUGCACUUCACGCAGAGAUCUUUGGUGCAAUAAGGGCCAUAGAAACUUGCAGAUUCUCAUAAUUGGAAAAAUCUUUGGUUAGAGGUGGACUCCCAGUUUGUCCUCAAAGCCCUCAAAAACCAUUCAUUAGUUCCAUGGAAACUAAGAAAUAGAUGGAUGAAUUGUAUCAUGCUGACUUCCAAAAUGAAUUUCCUUGCUAGACAUAUUUAUAGGGAAGGUAAUCAGUGUGCAGAUACCCUAGCAAGUGCUGGUUUUAAUGUCCCUAAUCUAACGUUUGGUUACAUCUGCCUGAUUGUAUUAGUGCUUUUUUUGUUAAGGAUAUAUUAGGGUUACAUAAUUUCAAGUUUGUAACAUAUUAAGGGGUUUUUGGUUUGGUCCCCCCCCCCCCCCCCCUAUUUCCUUGUUUUCCCUAGUUCCUUUUAUAUAUAAUUUUUGGUAGUCUACCUAAUUGCUAGCUACUUCUUUUGGUUAAAAAAAAUUCAUGUUUGUGUUGUUGGAUACAAUGUUCCUACAUAUUUUAGGCAUCUUUGUAAGAUGUUGGAUACGAUGUUCCAACAUCCUGACACGGUUCAGUGUGCCUUGUUUCAUGCCUGUUUGUACACGUGCUUUAUAUUAUUUAAGGAAACCAUAUUUCCUUAUCUUAUUGACCAAGCAACGCGCAUAUCUUUAUAGAAUCAGUUGUGGAAUAUUCCUAAAGAUGUGAUUAUAUUUUAGGAAAUAUUUGAAGCUGUUUUGGACGUUCCUAAAGAUGUUCCUACAUUUUAGGACUUUCCAAAUUUUUCUCUGAUUCUUGUUAUGCAGAUUAGCUGAACGAUUUGCUUUGUUCUGAAACCCAACAUCGUUUAUUAGCCCAUAUUGCUUCAGUAUAUAAGGAAGGCUUCAAGACCUAAUUGAUCAUUCAAGCCGUCAUUAUAUAAAGUUUAGAUUUUAGGGUUUUGAGUCUUUGUGUGUUCUACUCUUGUAUCGUGUUGAUUCAAGUUUAGUCCUGUUUUAUUGUGAGCCUUUCUUGUAUCAGUUUGAUACAUGUUAAGGACUGUGUGUUGAGUUAUAAACUCUUGUGUGCUACGCCAAAGUUGUUAAGCAAGGUUGCAGUUGUUUGUUUGAAGGUAAAUUCACCAUUUAUUUGUUAUAAGUCUGAUAAUCACAGGGGCUGUGAUUGACUGUAAGAUAGUGAGAUGAGAUAUCAGAUCUAGGAGUUCAUAGGUUGAAAUCAAUACAGGUAGGUCCUAGGUCUUUAGUGUAAACAAAGAGUUUGCUGGGAGCUAUAGAAUAAAGACUACACUAGUGGAUUUCCUUCCUGAUUUGGUAGCCCCCAGAGUAGGUGUGUUUGUCACCGAACUGGGUCAACAAACUCAUUGUGUUCUUUACUUUCGUGUCAUUUAUUUUCAUGCUUUUUAUUUGUUUACUGCAUGAUGUUGGAACAUUAAACGGAACAUUUGUUGUUUGUGUUUUAAACGUUGAAACAUUGCUUAAAACAUCUUAAAACAAGUACGCUAGAAUUUCAUUACACAUAAAUUAAGAGCACAAAAUUCAUCAUAAAAAAAAUCACAAAAGUUAUAAUUCACACAAAAAAUUUGGCUUAAUUGCACUUUUGGACCCUUAUCUUUUCAAAAGUUGCGGUUAUGGACCCCUAACUAAUUUAAAUACAAAACAGCCCCCUAUGUUUUGAUUCUUUGGGAGUUUUGGACCCCUAGUCCAUUGUUGAUUCGGUCAACGCUGACGUGGCACCCUAAGUGAGGUGCCACGUGUCUAUUUUUUUAUUUUUUUUGCCUUCGGGGUCCAAAACUGCCAAAGAAUCAAAACAUAGGGGGCUGUUUUGUAUUUAAAUUAGUUAGGGGUCCAUAACCGCAACUUUUAGAAAGAUAGGGGUCCAAAAGUGCAAUUAAGCCAAAAAGCUUAUGACCCCAAAACGUCUAAUUAUUACUGUUGAGAGCAAAAUCUUUUAUUGAUGUUUUAAAGAUAACAAACAUAUUUACUUUAAUCUAUAUUGUUAUCUACUAAUGAAUUUUGUGAGAAAUGUUUCAUGAGAAUGUUUAGUAAAAGCAAGAGAACGUUCUGGCACUCACAAGGGAUAACAAAAUCUUUAUUGAAAAUGGAUAUGAACAAAUAUGAGCUUUUUGGGGAAUUAUCAAGAUAUGCAUAAUUAAGAUCAAGACCAAAGCAAAUAUUCUCUUUUGUCUCACUUAAAGAGGAAAGAAAUCAAGGUUCUUGGAAAUGCAUUAAAGGACAAAGAAACAAAGGAAAUAAAUUAUAUUCUUGCACAUGUGUUGGAAGCAAAAAGAAUAAAAAUUAUCCUUGGGCCCUCAUGUGGCUUUUUCGAUCCUUUAAGGAAUUUUGAGGAAAAGGAAUAUUCAAAGGAUUAAUCUUUAUCUCCAAGUUACAUGACAUCAUCAAGAUGAUCUAAGCAAACAUCAUCAAGUGGGCAGCAAGUUACCAAGGCUUGAUCACAGCUCAUCACCAACUAAGCAAGCAUGUGCUCUACAAUUUCGUUCAAGUUUUGGUUGGAACUGAGAGAAUGAUCUGGGCAAAACUGAAGAAACAUUCUCUACAUGCUUUCUCCCCAAGUCUCUUUGGAGCCAUAAUUCAAAUUCAAAAUGGAAGCACAACAGCUCUUUAUUGGCUUGCUCUCCAAGGGAUUCAGCUCUAUAAAUAGAAGAGGACAUUGAAGGAGAAAUGCAAGAGUUUGAAAUACAAAGCAUUUAUCUCUCUCAAAGCAAAAGCUAUCAAUCUCUUCAAUCAUCUUUUCUCAUUGAGAACAUAUUUCUAAGUUUGUACAAGGAUAGUUUGUUUGACAUAUAAAGUUCCAAACAACAUCCUACACAUCUUUUGUUUGAGACGCCAGAUCCAAACAACAUUUUUAUUACUUUUGUUUGAGACAUUCGAUCCAAACAAAUCACCUUACAAAGAGAUAACUAGAUCUCAAGUCUAUUGGGCUUAAUAGUUUGAGAUAGGAAGAGUUCCAACCUUUCUUGUGCGAAAGCAAAGAAUUGUAGAAGCCUGCUGAGGUUGAUAAUACAGUGGUUACGGACUGAUCUGGUGUGAUCAAGACCUUAUAGUGUUGGUUAGAAGUUUCUACCAACUGCAUACUAUAGUGGACAAUCUCACACGAAGUGUGGGGACUGGAAGUAGCCGGGUUUGGUGAACCAGGAUAACUCUCCUGUGUUACUCUCUCUCUNNNNNNNNNNNNNNNNNNNNNNNNNNNNNNNNNNNNNNNNNNNNNNNNNNNNNNNNNNNNNNNNNNNNNNNNNNNNNNNNNNNNNNNNNNNNNNNNNNNNGGUAGGUACGGUACGGUACGGUACGGUACGUACGUACGUACUACUCUCUCUCUCUCUCUCUCUCUCUCUCUCUCUCUCUCUCUCUCUCUCUCUCUCUCUCUCUCUCUCUCUCUUACUUAUACACACUAAACACACACAUUAUCACAAAGCUUUAAUAUUCACCUCCAGAACAUUCUGGUCCUAAUCUCAACCAUAUUAAUCCAGAGUUCUCUGGUCCUAACUUAACUCAUAUUAUUCUGAUAAAUUAAACUGCCUCCAGAACAUUCUGGUCCAAGAUAAAACAACUGCUUAAUACUUGACUAAAUGUUUAAAAUUCAGUUUAUUAUUGUUUUAACAUUCUACACUUAUAUUAUAUCUUUCCAAAACGUUCUGGUCCUUUAUACAUAAAGUUAAUAUUUAUCUGUUCAACUAAUAUUUACCAAGAUCUUUCUUGAGUACAUAAAAUCUAAUUUAAAGUUUCAGGAAUAAUUUUAAAAGGGUCACAAUUCAAACCCCCCCUUUCUUGUGACGUUUAUUGCUACCUCAAUUACGAUCUAAUAAUUUAUUACCACUAAUUACCUCUAACUUAGUAAAAUAAUUAUUCUCUCUAAAACAUCAAAAAUAACAUUCUCAAAUAAAAUUACUAAUUUCACCUUUCUCACAAAGAGACCAAAAUACCUUUAGCCUCUAAAAUGACCAAAAUAUCAUUCUAGGCCAAAAAUCAACUAAUCCCAAAUCAAAUACAAACAAAGACAAUUAAGCACAUAUAAUAAAUAUAUAAAUAAAAUAAUCCUAGCUAAAAACGGGCUGUUACAUCUGAGGUUUAAACUUUAACCCGUAAACGGAGCCGAUCUUACGAAAUUGAAAACCUGACUCUCAUAGUAAAGAGAGAGCCCUUGAAGGAAAGAAACACAUUUUUUUUUUUAAAAAGGAAAAAAAAAUUUAUAAUGUUUGUUUUAUUUUAUUUUUUGAAAUAAUAAUUAUAAUGUUUGGUUUUAGAGCUUUGCUAUUUUAUACUACAAGAAUGAGCCAAGAUAUAAAAAGAAAAAGUUAUAUUGUAUUUUUAUGAGCAACGAUAACUUGACAUCAAAAUACAAACACAAAUUAGACAUCAAACACUGUUUACAGUAUAUUUAUACAGUAUUUAUUCACAAAUUUUAAUUUUAAUUUAUGUUUUCUUUCCCUCUUUUGGUCGACUUUCUCACCAUCCUUCGGCCACUAUCCGUCCAGCCACCGUCGUCCAACUCAGAUCUGCAGAUGCCUCCUCCCUCCUCGACGCCUACUUCAACUCCAUCACGGCCUCCCUCUUUCUACCUCAAGCAUCUUCUCAGAUCCACCUCACCCACCACAACCAUUGUCAUCACCACCUCCGCCGCCUGAACUCUCACCGGCCACCGCCUCCUACAUCACGUUCGUCUCCUCCUCCUUCUCUGACACCUUCAUAUCAGACCACUACUACCACUAGCGAGCACGUUCACCACUACUGUCGCCGUCUCCUACAACAACUCUAUACUCCAUCGCCAUCCUUUUCACCUCGUUUCACCACCACAAUCGGACCUCUCAUCUCCUCCUCCGCCUUCACCGCAACUAGAUUCCAGAGAGAGAGAAGUCAGGGAACGAGAGAGAGAAGAACGACGAGGGAGAGGAGAGAGAUACCUGCUGCAGGAAAAAUAGAGAGACAGAAUUAUUUCUGUAUUUUUAUUUGUAAAUAACAGUCCUAAUAAUUCUAUAGGUAGAUGAGAGUUGAAUUGAAUUGAGCUGAAAAAAUAAAUAAAUUAAAGUAGAAAAAUAUAAUUCUUGAGGAGCUGAACCCAAGACCAUCAAGCCACCAACAUAGAAUUUCUUUCAAUACCACAAACAGACUUCCUGCAGUGACGAAAAUUGUACAUUACACAGUCAAGACAUCCUCCACCAUUCGAUUAAUCUAACUGUCCAAAUUAUUUCUUUCAAUUUCAUAUUCUUAAACCCCAAAAACCAAAGUAGUCGUUUGUUUCAUUCAAAGCACACGCGCUGCGCAGUUCCUUCCAUCUGAUCUGCGAGUCUUCUCAGUUUUAUAGGUAAUAAACUAUGCUCUCUAUUUUACACUUUCAACAAUCCAAAAUUUGCAACAUUAUUUGAUAACGUUACACCAUUCACCAAAGCUUAUAACUCAAAUUUCAUAAUUUUAAAUUGUAUUGUAACUAUUUAUUUAUGUUAAGUUGUAUCAAAUUCUUCAUUCCUAUUCCUGUUCAUUCCAGAAUAGUUUUGUUGAACGCCUAUCGUCAUACAAUGGCGCCGUCGGAGUCAUCCGUUGUGGCGGAGUACGCAAAGUCUAACCGUUCGACGUGCAAGAAAUGCUCAGAAGCUAUACAAUCUAAAACCCUAAGAUUGGGUUUGAUUACAAAAGACAAGAGUAGAGGCUUCGAUGUUACUAAAUGGCACCACCUCACUUGCUUCACUGUACCCUCCUCUCACUCCUCAAUUGAUAAAAUUACCGGCUUUUCCUCGUUGAAGGUGAUUUUCUUUCUUCUUUUUAUACAUUUUCGUUCAUCAUCUUUUUUUGAAGUUACACACUUAUUUAAACAUUCGUGAGACUGUUUGACAUCUUCGUAAGCUGUUUUCAAGUUAUUCUCAUAAGCUCGAGUAGACAGCUUAUAACUUCUAAGAUAACAAUCUAACUUUAUUUUAUCUUUUAUUGUAGAAAUAGCAUAGCUUACAUUUAAGGGCUUAUCAUUAUUUUAUCUUGGCUAAUAGUCAUGUUGGUCCUGGAUGUGUAACAAGUAGUCAUAAUGGUUUUUCAUUGUAUCGAAAUUUCAAAAUUGUCCUGAUUGUGCACUUUGUUAGUCAAAAUAGCCCUGUCAUUAAAAUAAUUGUGUAAUAUUGUCAUAUUAGUCCUUCAAUAUAAUUGCUUAUUUUCAUAUCAGUUCUUAUAAGUACUUAUUUAUUGUCAUUUCCUUUCUUAUAUGAAGAGUUAUUGUGAGUAUUGAGGAAUUAUUUUAUCGUCCGAGACUAUUUUGACUUACAAAGUGCACAAUUAGGGACUAUUUUGAAAUUUGUAUAUAUUGAGGGACUACUGUGAGUCUGUGAUUAUUCGUUAAGUUAAACAUUCAGAGACCAAAAUGACCAUUGCCGUUUUAUCUUUUAUUGUAGAAAUAGCUUACAUAUAAGCGCUUAUCAUGAAUGAAAAUUAAGCUGUUUAUCCAAACAAGGCCUUAGUCCUUUAAGUUUUUUUGGAACAUAUUGGUUUUAAGUUAUAAAAUGUCCCCACCAUUACCCUUUUUUCAUCAAACACAAUUCAAAACUGUUUAUGUGGUUGUUCAAUGAUAAGUUGGUAUGUCUAAUGAGAAUGGCUUUUCCAACUGUAUUGGGCAUGUUAUAAAACAGUUCAAGAUUGAUCCAAUUCUAUCCAUCAAGGUUGUUUCCAUAGGUGUAUUAUUCAUUAUAAGUUUGAAAUAAAAUCGAUUACUUGAUUUAUAUGUAAAUUUAGGUUUGAAUUCGAAAACAAGAAGAAAACAUGCGUAAGUAAUCAUGUUUGGUGUCAUAAGCACUUUUUGGACUAGCACCUCAAUGUUAAGAGGUCAUGUAAGCACUUUUAACAGAAUUGAAUCAAAAAAGGAUAACAAUGUAAAUAUUCUAUGAUUUAAAAGUCCAAUUUGUUACAAUUUUUUUUUAAAUAACUAACUUGCUCAAACAUCUAACUUAAAAGACCGCAAAAGAUAAACAACAAAAACUACAACAACAACUAAGCCUUAUCCCAUUAGGUGGGGUCUGCUACAUGGAUCAAAUUACACCAUAAUGUUCUAUAAUAAAUCCGAAAGGACCGCAAGAGUUAUUUGACGUUUAUUUAUUUAUUGAUGUAUUUCCAGAGCGGUGACCAGGAAGCUCUCACGAAGUUAUUUACUGAACAGGAGGACAACUCUGCAGAGGUGAGAGCUCCAUUUUCUGACUCAAAUUUUUUUAUCUGCAUUUUAUGCCUUUAAUCCGCACAUCUCGAAUUUGAAAGUGAGUAGUUUAGUCGGUGCAAUAUGAAAGCAAUGAGCCACUAAUAUAAAUAUUAAUGUGACUGUUUCCCAAUGAAACUUAGGUUUUUUUCUUUCUAUAAGCAACAUGAAUAUUGUUACGAAGAGUACAAGGGAUACUCCAAUUUGAUGCAAAAAUUUAGUUCAAAAAUCGCUUCGAAUACAUAUUAGAGAGUUAGUGCACCAUUCAGCAAAACCAUAAUGUAACCUUCCUGCCUUGUAACUUGUAAUUUACAAACCUACUCCAAGGCACCAGUGUGAUAUGGUUUAUUAAACCAAACCCAUUAGAUAUACCAUCCUUAAAAAUGAUCCUGUUUCUAUGAAGCCAAAGACAACAAACAGUAGACAGCCAAACAAAACUUAGGUUAUAACUUUAUUAGACACUCGUUUGAAGGUGGGACCAAGAAUGAAAUGAAUAUGAUACAAAUUUAAGUCUGAAUCAGAUAGUAUUUAAAUCAAAAUUUGAUAAUGAUCUCUAGCUAAUGACACUCAAUAGUCUAUAACGGCAUAUUGGUCAACAAAAAAUUGCAUAAUCUCUCCAAAUGCAUCCAUGGCAAAUUUGAACACAUUUUGUAUAAUACUAAAUCCAUCCGAAGUGUGUAAUGGAAACAUCUUCCUUGAACCUGAAGUUGAAAUGUUUUUUGAAAAAGCAUUACAUUUAUGCUUGGAAAUGCUGUGACAACAUUUUAAAGUUGAAAAGGAAAUGCGUUUGAAUGUUAUUUUUUGUAAUUAUAUGGAAGCCUUACUUGAUAUUCUGAACAUGUAUGUAUCUGGAAAAGAUGUUUGUUUAUGUCGUUUGGUUUUCUGAUGAUCUUUUUCUCUUUGUUCUUCAUGAUUAUUGCUUGCACUAAUGAGCAUUUGGUUGUAUGUUACACUUCUUUUAUGGCAGGCUAGUAAAAAAACGAAAGGCAUACAAAAUGAAGAGCAAGAUGCUGAAGAAAGGGAUUCAAAGAAAACAAAAGUAAGCACGUGCACUGGUAAAGAGUUCUUGAAUUACAUAUUGUGUAGCUUGGGGAGAGAUAGGUGGGUAUAGGAUCGAGGUCCUACGGAGGACCGGUCGGCCGGUGAAAGAACGAAAACACGAGGAACGUAACACGGUUCGUUAGUAGGAUCGGUAGGUUUUUGAUAGAGUUGACAGAAAUAAAUAGAGAAAAUAGAGGAAAAACAAUAAAAAACAGAGGAAAACAGGGCAAAAACGAACCGGAGUAAAGUGUAAGCGUCAAGGUGCUAUAGGAAGUAGAAUCGUACGAUCCUACGAGCCAGCACUCGAUCCUGACUACAAUGGGUGGUGGUUUCUGCACCCUGAUGAGAAUAUUUUAAAAUUUUAUCCCAGAUCUUACAAAAAUUGGAAACAAUGGUUUUGAUUUGAGAGUAAACAUUUAUGUUUGUCCCAUAGUGGUUAUCCCACCUAAUGUCGUUUGAAGUUAUUAUGUAGCAUGUUUAGUGUUAUGUAGACUCUUGGAUGUCUAGCUAUAUAUGUUAUCUCUGUUAGCAAAGAUCAAACUGAAGUCAAAAUUGACCAAAAUAAAUAUUGUUCAACCCUUUCUUUCACCCACAUUACUUAUCCACUCUCUCUAGCCUCCCCGUCCAAAACCAAUGUUUACUUUCCUUUAUCUCCACUCUUCCUCUUAUAGUGUAUCAUGCGGAUAUCAUAGUUAUACUAAUUCAACUUAUCGGUUCAACAUUUCGCGAGGCAUAAAUAUGCCUAUGACAAUACAAUACAUAAUUCCCAUCAUCGCAGCCCAAACCAGUUCCCAUUUUGCAUUCCUAAAUCUGAAGUAAAGUAACAAUCGUUGUUUAAAUCUCACAAAAACCCUCAAAUCUGCAAAUAGCCUUUUUCGUUCCCAGAAAAACAUGGAGUUCGAAAGAAGAAAAAAAACAGAAAACAAAAGUUGUCAUUGGGUGUGGGGCUUAGUUAUUAUAGAAAAUGAAAAGCAUGAAGCAACUAAAAAAGAUUCUUUGGAUGACAGAGUCAUAAGCUAUGGAAUUAGAGCAAGAGAUAUUUUGAAAUGACUAUGUGUAUGUUAGAGAGAAAUGUAAAUCAUGAAGCAAAUAAAAAUAGAUUCUUCGGAUGACAGAGUCAUAAGCUAUGGAAUUAGAGCAAGAUAUAUGUUGAGACGACGAUGUGUAUGUUAGAGAGAAAUCUCAGAAUGAGUAAUGAAGAUAAACAUAUGGCAGUACGCAGUAUAGCAGUACCCAACACGGUAAAACAGGAAGAGGGGGAGGGGGAUGGUGACAGUGGCGAUGGGGAGCCAAAGAGAGAUGAGGAUGAUGAGAAAGAAGAAUCAUUUAUUUUUUUGGUGAAUCAGAUGACAUAUGGCGACUAAAAUGAGUCGAAUCCAUCUGGAAAAGAUGUAUACAGUUAAAUCAGAAGCCGUGUAUUGUUGGUUUAUGUUAUUUUCGAAUUUUUAUUUUCUCCUUCAAAUUGCGUAUUAUUGGUAAUUAUUUUUUAUCCCUAAAUCCUAAUUCUUUUUGUUAUUCAUAUUUAUUGCUUGCAGUUAUCCACCUCUGAUGUCAAAGCUGCGAUUAAUAUCAACUUUUCAGUUUCUGAUGUCAAGAGCACAUACAAGGCAAGGUUUUGGCUCCUUUUUAUUUUUAUUUUUUACUUUUAUACUUUAUUCGAUUACUUGACAGCUUCGAUGUACUGACCAAUCCUUACUAAUUUUACUCCACUUUACUGAUCCAGGAUGCUACCCUUUUGCCUAAAUGGAAGGCUUUCCAGACAGUCAUUUUUCUUGAACGGGUGAGAAUUUGAGUAUUGGCCUUGGUGUGUGUGUGUACUUUCAGCAUGGUUAUACACUUUUAUGUAUGGUUUACAUGUUCCCCCUUGUUCUAUGCUUUGAUAAUUUGCAGGAUGAUGGUCUGGAAGAUUCAAGUAAAAUUGCUGCAUUUGAUUUUGAUGGUUGUCUUGCGAAAACUGCUGUGAAUAGGUAUGUCUACAUCUGAAGUCAUAACUUUUUGAUCAUUAAUGCUAUUGGUUUGGGUGUAAAUGGAAGUAUCAAAGGCUUCUGGUGACAUUAUGUGGUGCUAGCACAAACAAGUUCUUAAAAUGGAUAUAUUUUAUCAAUAUCACCCUUUUGAUUUGAUAUUAUAAUAAUAAUAAUAAUGAUAAUAAUGAUAAUGAUAAUAAUGAUAAUAAUGAUAAUAAUAAUAAUAAUAAUAAUAAUAAUAAUAAUAAUAAUAAUAAUNNNNNNNNNNNNNNNNNNNNNNNNNNNNNNNNNNNNNNNNNNNNNNNNNNNNNNNNNNNNNNNNNNNNNNNNNNNNNNNNNNNNNNNNNNNNNNNNNNNNAUUAAUAUUAUUAUUAUUAUUAUUAUUAUUAUUUAUUAUUAUUAUUAUUAUUAUUAUUAUUAUUAUUAUUAUUAUUAUUAUUAUUAUUAUUAUUAUCAUCAUCAUCAUUAUUAUCCUUCCGAAAGUGUCUAAUUUUUGAGAAAAUUAUCUUUUCUUUCAGAGUUGGUCCAGAUGCUUGGUCUCUCAUGUAUCCCUCAAUUCCUGAUAAACUGCAAAGCUUAUACAACAAUGGCUACAAGCUGGUGUGUUCCUUUUAUCUGUAAAAUAAAGCUUAUUAUUCAAUUUUGGCUGAUUAUAGAAAUUUAUAUUAGAACUGGUAUCUAUGUAAAUAGAAAAUACUGAAUUAAUGACAGGUUAAUUGAUUAAAAUAACUAGAAAACAUUGUUUCACUAGGACAGAAUACAAAAAUAGGAUGGGCAAUUAAUAACGGAAGGUACAGAAGCUACACAUAAUACAGGAGUUAGAGAGCCUGCCUUCUCUCCCAACCACCCAUAGAAACUUCAAAACAACCGAUACCUUCCGAUUCCUUCUCCUAUUCGUUUUAUUCAAUUACGACAUAAUAGGUUGGCUGGCCACCCUUACAUAAACUUAAUUAAUACUCUUUCCUAUUUAGCACAGUGGUGCUUCUGGUAUGAAACUUACGAUGUAGUAUGCUAUCUACUGUGGUUGUUGUUGUCUACUAUAGGUAAUUUUCACCAAUGAAUCCAAUAUUGAUCGUUGGAAGAACAGCAGACAGAAAGCCGUGGACUCAAAAAUUGGACGUCUAAAUCAGUUUAUUGAGGAAGUGAAGGUCCCAAUUCAGGUGAGUUUGUUGGUAAUACAAAUGUAGCUUAUGUUGUUUUCAACUAUUAAACUAUAAAUGCAACGAUAUUUCGCCUGUCUUAGUUACUUUUUAUCAUGCUUUUGGAUCAUCUUUUUGCAGUAUAGUAUAGUUCCACCUACGAAACUUAUCUUCAAUUCUAGGUAAAAUUGCUCCCACGGUCCUUUAAGUUAUUUUAUUGUAACAUAUAAGGGCUUUACGGGUCCAUUAAAAGAAAAGCUUAUUUGGCCACUAUGAAGAUGCUGUCUAUUGCAGUGCUUACAUAGCAAGUCUAACAAGUCAUUCAAUAUAAAAGCCAUAAUUUUUCACUAAAUUUUUAUUGAACAAAAUAAUAAAUACAAAUUGAUUAGGAUUCUUCAAACCUAUAAUUUGGGAUUUCUUUAAACCAUAAUUAGGGGUUUCUUCAAACCCAGAAUUGAAAAUAUUUAACCACUUUUCAUGCUACAAUAAGAAAAAAUGCAUGGCUCCUGGCUCUUGUAACUCGGUGUUAAUUUGCAGCAUCAUCAUCAUUAUUGUAAACCAAAGGGAAACAAACCUAGAAAAGAUAAUUUAGAUCACAACUUAUCAGUAGCUAAGGCUUUCAAAUGUUAAGAAUUUUCGUUAGCAGCUUUCCCCGAAGAGGUGAAAUUCAACCUGAGAAAAAGAAGGAUAAUGAAUAAUCAACCAGCUAAAUUUCAUACAACUUUCUCCAAGGAGGUGAAAUUCUGUUGUUGCGCCGAUUUAGGAUUCCCACUUAACAAUGGCGUGUCUUCUCAGUAGGCUUUACAAAAAGUUUAAAUGAAAAGUAGAGAGAUAGAAAACAAAGUCAGAACCGCUUCAUUUCAUUACAUGGCUGAAAUAAAAUCAUGUUUGAAGAAAGAAUAUAUUUUUCUACCACUACAGAUUCUGAGUUUGAAGAGUCUGGACUACUGGUUUGAAGAAGCCCAAUCAUCAAUCUGGUUUUUUUAAUAUAUAAUUAAUUAAAAAUCUGAUUUUUUUUUUUUUCGAAUACAUAGUUGCACUUUCCUUCUAAGCAUCUUAAUCGACAAGUCAACAUCGUACCGGUAAAUGUAAGUUUUUUUGACAAACCUAAAUGAAAACUUGAUGAUCAACGACGUUAACGUCAUGAAACUAAAAGACCGACAUGGGAAAAAGAAACAUAAAGGACCAAUCUGGCACAAUAAAAUAAUUUAAAGGUCACAGGAGAAUUUUUGUCCUAAUUCUUUUGGUUAUUUGGAAAUUUAAAAGCUAUUAGGUUUCUGCUCUUGAAGUUGUGUUCUUAUUUUUCAGUUACCACUUAAAAUAGACUAGGUUUAACAUUGCUGUCAACUUCAUACCAGUAUGCUGGAAAGCCGCCUUAAUUGCAACAACUUUGGUUGUCGCCAUUCAUUGUAGGCUUGUAGCAACUGUAUUUGGGUGGGCUAAUUUAGCUUCUUCAAAAAAAAUUGUAGCAACUGUAUUUGAACCUGAGCUGAGUAUCCAAUUUUUAUCUAUACAGGUUUUUAUAGCUUGUGGGACAGGUAAGUCAGGCAAAGCUGGAAAAAAGGGUAAGUCGGGCAAAGCUGGAACAGAGGAAGAUGAUCCUUUUCGGAAACCAAAACCAGGGAUGUGGCAACUUAUGGAGAAACACUUUAACUCCGGUCUUACCAUCGAUAUGGAUGAGUUAGUUUUUCCUCUAUUUGAUAGCUCAAUUGAUGCUAUAUUUUGGAUUCUUAAAUUUAUUUAAAAUAAUUUAUGUAGAAUAACAUGAUAUUUUAUCCACAAAGGGUUUAGAAUGUUAAAACAUGCAUUUUCUUUGUAGAUCCUUUUAUGUCGGUGAUGCAGCUGGGAGAGAAUCAGAUCAUAGUGAUGCUGAUAUUAAAUUUGCAGAGGUAGUUAAAAUAUUUUAGGACCAAGAAAUAACUUAUGAUUUGAGCACCAUUUUAGAAAUAGUUGGUUCCUAUCAGUAAGGCUUAAAUCAUUCUUAAAUGAAUAACAUUGUCAAAUACCGGCUAUGGCGGAUUUUGGGUGUGGAAUUUUUUACAACCAUCAUCGCCAAUUUUUGAAGGAUGGUUCCGCCAUGUCAUAAAAUGGCAGAUUUUGUUUCCACCAUGGUCUGCAUUUGAUAACAUUAUGAAUAAUGCAUUAGUUUGAGCACAAUUCUCUUUCUUUUUGAGUCAAGCGCAUUUGUGUCUAUCCAUCUCUCUUUCAUCUGUUUAAGUUCAUGGGUGUAUAUUUCAUCAAAUUGGACAUAUUAUUGUCGGAUGAUUGCUCUACGGGCCUCUCAGUUUGCUCAAAAGCCCCUAUUGGAUCGUAACUCUCAGAUUGUAACUCCCACCAAGCUUAUUUCAGAGGUUGAGCAAUCCACGGGGUGCAUAGAGCAAUUUCCUUAUAGUCUUAAGCGACGGUUAUACUUCUGAAUAAUAUUUGACCUUUGAUGUCAUUAAUAUGUUAAUUUUCAUUUUAUCUUUGCAGGUUUAUAUCUAAUUCUUUUAUUUAUUUAUUUCCAAUGGUUGCAGGCAAAUGGUUUGAAAUUUUAUGUCCCUGAAGAGUACUUUGCCGCAUGAGCAUCUAAUUUGGUCAUUGGUUCACAGAAAGGCCUAGAGAAUGAAUACUUGUAAAAAUUGAGUUUGAAGUUACUCGGAUUUUGAAUGUUUUGUCCCCUUUUUNNNNNNNNNNNNNNNNNNNNNNNNNNNNNNNNNNNNNNNNNNNNNNNNNNNNNNNNNNNNNNNNNNNNNNNNNNNNNNNNNNNNNNNNNNNNNNNNNNNNGAGAGAGAGAGAGAAGAAUAACACAGGAGAGUUAUCCUGGUUCACCAAACCCGGCUACUUCCAGUCCCCACACCUCGUGUGAGAUUAUCCACUAUAGUUUUCUUGCUAACAGAAACUUCUGACUAGCACUACAAUAUCUUGAUCACACCAGAUCAGUCCGUUACACCUGUAUUAUCAACCUCAGCAGGCUUAUACAAUUCUUUGCACACUAGCAAAAGAAAGGUUGGAAUUUUCUAUCUCAAAACUAUUAAGCCCAAUAGACUUUGAGAAAUACAACACACUUUGUAUGAUGAGAUUUGUUUGGAUCAAAUAAAUACUCAAAUCUUUGUUUGAGUUUUACAAGAGGCAAAUUCAAGAGAGAAGAUCCAAGAGAUAUAGUGAGAGAGCUUGGAAUUUGCUUUGUUUGCGAAGAGCUUUGUUUGUAGUGAUGAUUUUCACUUUGAGAGAUAUUAGCUUACAAAACUCUUGCUUAUGACCUUCAAAGGCCCUUGUAUUUAUAGGUGAGGAGUGUCUUGGUGAUCAAGGGAGAAAAUAGAGCUGUUGGACACGUUUUUGAUAGUUGUCCAAAGUCUCAAUUGAUUUCUCUUUUCUUCUUUAAAAUAGCCAGAACGUUCUCAGAAUGUUCUUUCUGAUUUGCCUGGCUUUGAAAGCACUGUUGCUUUGCUUGCGCAUGAGAUAACCAGCUGUAAUGAGCUGUAUAACUUGCUGCCCACUUCUGAUGAUGUCAUGUCCUUUUGCUUUAGUGAUGUCAUGCUUAAGUAAGCCAUGUGAUCUUAUCCAUGAGAGAUUAAUGGACUUUACUUUUCCAAAUGGGCUUAAAGCUUUUCUUAUGGCCCAAUUAAAACAUAAUCAGCCAUACUUUCUUGUUCACUUUUGAUGUACUGUUCAAUUUUCAUCGUUUUCGCCAGAACGUUCUCAUUUCAUUCUCAUGAAACAAAUUCUCACAAAACGAAUUAGUAGAUAACAAGAUUAAAUAAAUAUAAUAUGUUUGUAAUCUUUAAAACAUCAAAUAAUGAUUUUGUCUCAACAAGACACUCAACUCUAAAGUUACCUCCUUUGUAAUCCAAGUUUCUCUCUCUUCAAGCUCUUCUUCAAAAUAUGCACAAGAACUCUUAUAUAGCAGUCUUCAGCUGAUAAAAUCGUGCCACGAUUGAUACGUACGACCGAAGGUACGACCAACCUUAUCCUGAAAACUUAACCAGCAAGUUUAAAAAUCGUGUCACGAUUUCACAAAAUCGUACCACGAUUUGACACCCUGCAAACCAACUCACGAUAUUACAAAAUCGUGUCACGAUGCCAAAAUCGUGUCACGAUUUUUCUGUUCUUUCAAACCACAAAUUUGAAGGCAAAUUUCAACAUAAGCCAUGAGAUCAUUCAGAUAAAUUCGCUCUUGUUCUCAAAUACCGGUAACUUUAGCUCGUAGAGAGUGUAUUAUAUUUGAUUAGGCUACAAUAUAUUGAAUAGGUACAAAUAUAAUAGUCUGUUUGAAACUGCGUCCAACAGGCAUUAAACCCACGUAUAGAGAAAAGAGUGGAGUUCUAGCUCACAAAAUCGGGACACGAGAAAUGUGAGACAGACGCAAAUCCAAAUACUUCUUGAAACAUGUUCAAUCUACCACUAAUAAUGGUGAGUUUAUUCUUGGUUAUGAGACUAAUAUUGUGUCUACAAUCUAUUGAAUUCUCGGUUGUGGUUAGGGCUGGAAAUGAGUUGCAUCAAGUCCCGUAACCACAAACUAUGUCGCAUUGCAUCCACAAGUUAAGGGAUUCAAUGACGGCUACAUUCUAAUUUAGUUUUUGAUAUUAGAAGAAGCUGAGAUAGAGCUGUCAAGGAAAGCUAGGGGAAUAUAGCUCAAAUUUGGUAAAACUUGAUAUCUUGACUCCCUAUUAUGAAUUCACUAUAUCAAGUUAGAAAAAAAUGUUUUAAAGUUAAAACCUAAUAUCAUUGAAACACUUAAAAAUGGUGAAGUGAAAUAAGGGAUGAGUGCAUAAUAGAAGAACAUUAACAUUUCCCUUUAUAAGGCUAUUGUCUGAGAUUUUCCAUUGGAGUUGAUUGAUCAAGAAUCUUCAUGACUAUGGUACCAAGAAGAAGGUUGUUCUGAAUGCUGCAAGGACCGGAUGUGGAUCAUCUCUUACUGUUGCUUUUGAAGAUCCCAUCCCUUCUCCAGCAAAGAAGAAGAAAAUGCUAAAGAGAUUGAUAAUAGUAGAUGAGAACAUUGUUGAUAAGAUCCCGACUUAAAUCCUAAAAUGCAGGAUUUUGCGACUUUCUUCACGUUCAACGACUCAAAUCCAUAGUAAAAUUCUAAAAUAGGCGAAAUCCAUCGAUUUUGAUUGCGAUUUUACGAUUUCUUAUAAACUAAGUCAUUUAUGACUAUAUACCAUUUAUAACAUAUAUUUAGUAUUUUUUUUUUUUGGUAAAAUCCAUCGAUUUUGAUUGAGAUUUUACAAUUUCUUAUAUCGAUUCUACAAAGUAGUUGAGUAAAAUCCUUCGAUUUUGGUUUCGAUUUUACGAUUGUCGAUUUUGCUCUUCUCAUUCGACCUGAAGCAAAAUCCCGAUUUUGACAAUCUUGGAUGAGAUAAGGAAGAAAGAAACGGAAGAAACCUUAUAGUUGAAGAAGGUCAAGGUUUUACACCAAAAGGGCACUUCAAAUGUUGCUCCUGCGUCUAACAAAUGUAAUUAUGAACACUCUGUUAAUGGUGAUAAAGGCUCCAAUUUUACUGACCCAUAAGCAGUGACUUUUAAGCUUAUUAACUUAAAUUACAGUUGAUAAUGGUGGCAAUGACUUUCAAGCUUAAACCUGUAAAUUGGAGUCGAGCCAAUGAAUAUCUCCCCAAUUUCUGACAAAUGAUGUCUUCAUAUAUUUGAGUUUCACAAGUAAAAUCAAGGAAAAAUUAUAUUAUUAGCACCUUAAUUUAAUCUUAGGUAAUACCUGAGUCCUUUAUCUAUUUUUUUCCUUUUUUUAUACUUUAUGUUUUUAAAUAUUAAAACUACUAUCUUAAAAAAAAUGUUACACCUCAAUUAAAAAAAUGCCUAUCUGGCCAUUAUGGUGAUGAUGUCUAAGUUUUAGUAAUCAUGUGGCAAAUCCAAGUAAGCAUUUAGUCAAAAAUAUUUUUUACUAUAUUCUGCAUGUAACACGUAAUUGUCCUAAGGAUAUUGGUUAAGGAUGUCAAAAAUAGAAAAUUUUCAUUAAAAACAAAACUUUUUUUACUUUCAUAAAGUUAAACAUUCCACUUUCCAUCAAUUUCCAAUACAUAAUUUCUAUGUUAAUCUUCUUAACUAGUGCUCUUAAGGCACUAUUAACGUUUCCCAAAUAAUAUAUAUAAUUAAAUGCCAAAUUGGAUUUGUCACAUGAUCACCAUAGCAGAGACACAUCAACAGCCUAAAUGGCAACAUAGGCAUUUUUUUAAUUGAGGUGUAACAAUUUUUAAAAAAAGGAUAGUAGUGUUAAUAUAUAAAAACAUAAAGGAUUAUAAUGAGAAAAAUAGAUAAAAGACUAAGGUGUUCCUAAAAUUAAGCUAGGGGCUAAUAUUGUGAUUUAGCCUAAAAUCAAUUGUUUCAAUUAAAUUAAAUUGGACUGUAGUUUGAGUUUCAAAAGAAUAAUGAAAAUGAUUGAUAUGCCUUUCAGGUUUAGUGUUUCUACCCUAAAAUGCGUGCAUCCCCCCCACUCAUUUUUUAUUUGUUUUGUUCAAGUAGCAUAUAUUGUUUAGGAAUUCACUUUUUUUUUUUUUUUCAAACCUUGCCCCAAUAUAUAGUAUGCAGUGUCUUUACCAAUUAAGUUUUGCUCAUAAGGACCUCAUAAGGACCAUCUUGUUCUUACCAACUAAGUUAAGCUCACGAGGACCAUCUUUUCCAUUGUAUUUGUGGUUACGUUUAUAUUUAUUUUCCCUUUUAAAAAAAAUAAAGGAAGAUGUAUUUUUAAAAUCUAAAUGGAUAUUUAUAUCUUUAAAAUAAAAUUUAAAAAAUAUAAAGUGAAUCAAUGUGACAUUGAAUUGUUCCUACCACUGGAAAGUUGUUAGAAUUUUUUGUUAAGGUAAAUUUGACCACAAAUUAAUUAGUAAUUCUAAAAAAAAAUCAAAAUGCCAUCUUUAUUUUCUCUCAACUUUACAAGAAAUGAAUAUUUAUUUCUUUCAACUUUACAAGAAAAUUUCAAAACUAUAAAGUGAGUCAAUGUGACAUUGAAUUCUUCCUACUAUUGGAAAGUUGUUUGAUUUUUUCAUUAAAUUAAAUUUGACAACAAAUUUGUGUUUCAGAAGAAUAAAAACGGGUUGAAAUGUGAUCGUUGUUUUGUCAAUCUAUUCUUAAAUACUUGAAAUGUAUUAUUCGUUCUAUUCAUAAGCCCCCUUUCUCAUUUUCUCCCAUUGUAUUUGGGCAAAUAUUUAUCUUUUUUUUUUUUUUGCUUUGGAAAAAAAUGAAGGUUCAUUUUUCAAUACAAAUUGAUAUAUUUAUUUAUUUCAACUUUUAAAAUAAAUUUUCAAAAUAAAAAAGUGAGUCAAUGAGACAUUUAAUUUUUCAAACUGCUGACAAGUUUUUGGUCAUUGAAAUUAAAUUAAAGUUGACCAAAAAUAUCAGUUUUACCAAAAAAAAUUAAAUGGGUUUAAAUACCCACUUGAUAUUUUGAAUCUACUAAAAUAUAUUACUUCUAUUAAAACAAAUGAACCAACCCUUAAAAAAAAACAAAAAGAAAUGAGCAAACCUCCCCUAUUUUUCUUCUUUCAGGCCUAAUAUUCUUUCUUUUCCUCCUCUAAUGUAGAUGAUUAAUGAAGCAAAAUGAAGUGCAACUAUUGUCAAAAUGAGUAAUUAGACGGUGCUUUUCAAUUUAAGUAUCAUUUAGUAAGCAGGUCUAAAAUUGUCGAACCGUAUAGAGCUGUUCUGUAUGAAGUUCGUCAACAAAUAUUACACAUUGUUCAUAAAUUUCCAAGAGACCACAUCAAGAAGAGAACUCCAAAUGAUUAUAUAGAGAUUAAUCUGGAAUGUGGAAAAACGCAAAAGGUAAAAAUUCAUUUUUUUUUGUUGGUUUUAGCCUGUUGUUUGUUUUUCUCUUCAGAAUUAUUAUUUUUUUCACAUCAAAGUUGAAUUUCUGUUUUCUUUUAUGGUCUUUCUUUUAAUUUUUUACAUUUAAGGGACCGUUCGUGGUGGUUAUGAGUUUUCAAUUUUGGUUUUCAAACUUAAAAUUGAAAAAAUUGUGUUAGUGUAAACAUCAUGUUAAGUUGGUUUUUCACCAAACUUUAAAAUAUCAGAAAAGAAAAAAGAAAAAAAGACCAUAAACAAAACACAAUUAACUUUGAUAUUAAAAAAAAAAACAAUUCACAAGAGACAAACAACUUGCCAAUAAAAAAAAUUACAACGGAAUUUGUACCUUUUUUCCUUUUCCACCUUCCAUAUUAAUCUCUAUAUACUCACUUGAAGUUAUCUUGUUGAUGUGAUUUCUUUGAAACUUAUGAACAAUGUCCAACAUUUGUUGACGAACUUCAUAUAAAUCAACUCUACACGGUUCAACAGUUUUACGCAUGUUUGCUAAAUGGUGCUUAAAUCGAGAAGCACUGUCUGAUAAUAUGAAAAUAGUUGCACUUCAUUUUGCUUGAUUUAUUAUCUACAACAAUGGCAUGUUGCCACACCACAUCAUGUCUCCGAGUAGUAGUGUUUUUUAGAACAUUCCUAGGCCUCUUUGUAUGAACACUUGGGUUUGAUUUUCCUCUUGAAGGAGGAGGCAUACUGCUAGUUCCCAUCAUCUAACCCAAUAAAAAAAAACAAAGACAAGCAAAUUAGAUACAAAAAGCGGAACAAGUGGAGAUCAAUUGAGAGGAAAGAAAAAAAAAAACCAAUGGAGGUUAUGAAAGGAGGAAUUGAAGGGAUGACACAUUCUUGAAAGGAGGAAUUGAAGGGAUGACACAUUCUUAUCUAUAUCGGUGAGUAUAUUCUUCCAUUUUUUAUAGUCACUCUUGAUGGGAAAAUUUGUCAUAUAAUUUGUGAUAUGAUGGUAGGUGACAGAGUCAAAAAGCCAUGACGGAGGAGGAGGUGGAUAAGAUGGACGUCUCCCCUUCUUUUGAUAGCCAUGGAUCUUGUAGCAUGAUCUAGCCGACUAAAGUUUGUUGCAGUUUUGGCAGAUAACCGACAUUUCUUGUUGUUUGGAUCGGUAGCUGAACAUGAUUAGAUGUCAUGGGGAUAGAUGUGCUAAUUUAUGCUUCACGUUCUAGAAACAUUUCGAAAUCAACCAACUCGUCAUAUAACUCAUGAAAGAGUAUUGGAGAGUCAUGUGUGCGAAUAGAUGCCGUAAAUUCUCAUAAUGAUGGUAACCCAUCGAGAGCAAAAAUGACUAAAUCAAGGUCAUCAAGUGGAUGUCCAAUAAGAGAUAACUCAUCCCUAAUGGACUCGAUGGAAUGCAAGUAGGAGGAUACAUAUUGCAUACCCUUGGAGAUUGAACUAAGAUGUUCCUUGAGAGAUAUGACGCAAGAGCGAGACCGAUUGUUGAAGGGUUGUUUGAAUUCAAGUAAGGCAACACGCAAGGUAUCAGCAGAAUCCAUGACAGAGCGGGCUUCGGAAUCACAUGAACCAAAAAAAAAACAAUGUACAAUAGCUUGUCUUGACAGAUCCACUUGGAACAGGCAUUAUUAGGCACUGUCUUACCAUCAGAUUGAAUUGUUGACGUGGGACAAUGCGUGUCACCAAUCACAUAUCCAACAAGGUCACGUGAAACAAGUAGGCCGGUGAAUUUUCUUAUACCAAGCAGGGUAUUAGAGAUGUUUUUAGGAAAAAAUUUGUUCCCCAAAAUAAGAAAACUUUAUUGACUGUUUUUUUUUCUUUUUUUUUUUUCAAUAAUUGGAAUGUCUGAAGCUGUAUGUUCUAUAUACAUCUUUGCUCCCCAAAAUUCCCUGUCAUUUCUUGGUUAUACCAACUGCCCAUACUCAUUAUCCAUUUUUCUUUCUUGGAUAGGUCUGCAGCAAUUUAACCUAAUAUUUUCCCGUUCAUUUGUUGUAUUAGGUUACCAGUAAUUUAACCUAACAAAUUCUAUCUUAAAAAAUGCAUUGCACCAAUUUCAUUUCUAUCCUCUUGCCUUUUUUUUUUUACAAUAUUUUCUACACUUAUUUAAUACGUUUACAAACAGAAUACCCUAGUCCUUAUUUAUCAAUUUUGUUAGAUCUGCAGCAAUCCCAUAUGUGUCAAUCCCUUUACAAUAAACUUGUGCGGAGCACGGGUCAAAAACCUAGUUACUAGUUAUUGUUAUUGGUUCAUAGUAUUGUAUUGUGACUUGACAUAGAAAAAUUAUUGACCAAGAGGAAGUCCAUGCUGAUUAGUAUAUACCAUAGUCGCAUAAUUCGUCCACCCUCCAAGGAACCGUGAAUUGGUUGGCGCGAACCGAUUCCCGGUUAUUACGCGAAUUGGUUCACGAGAAUUCGCACAUGCAUUCGUUGAAUACAGAGAACUAGCGAACAAUGCCCAAAUUCGAUUCUGGAUGAAGCUAUGUCUGUUUGAUUUUGAGUUCAACACCAUCAGACGCAUGUUUCAGUUGUGAAAUUGAGAGGAUUUGGUAGAUUUUUCGAUGCACAGGCAGUUUCUUUGUUGAGAGGAUUUAGCAGAUUUUUUCGAUGGAAUAGAUCAAUUGGUGUGUGUUUCUGUUGGUUGAUGUAUCAGUUUUGUUUUCACUGGUGCUUUAUGUUGUAUCAUUUGUCAUUGCACACGUUGGUUUUUUUUUUUUUUUGCUGCUGGUGGUCGGUGUUUGAACCCCGAACGUUGCAUAUAUUAUGCAUUGUCUUACCAACUCAGCUAAGCUCACGAGGACACACGUUGGAUUUUUAUUAUAAUGAAUGAAUUUAUCUAUGCUAUUUCAAAAAAAAUUAGUUUUCAUUUUCUAUUUUAUUUUUUUGUCAAUGUUUUAUUAAGUAACGUACCGAUUAUUAUAUUUGAACGUACCACGAACCCAAGCAAAGUACUGACUCUGUAUACCCCCUACGUACCUAAAUUUUUGAAAGUCCCGAACCGCGUACCCAAAUUCGUACCACGUAUCGAAGCGAAUUGCGAACUGUGUGACUAUGGUAUAUACCACAUAAUUUGACAGGUAUUGGUUCUUACUAUUUUUAUUUAAUAGAUCUUCUUGUUGGUUGUAUCUGUGAUAUAGAGACUUUUGUAAUAUUUUGGAAUAUGCUUGAAUCAGAUCUUUGUAACUGGUUUGGUGUUUCAGGUGCAUCAUCAAAGGGGUUUCUUGCAAGGGAAUUAGGCCAAAUCACCUAUUUGCAAGAAGCGUACGUUCAUUUUUUUUUUCUUCUUAUAUAGUUGAUUUAAUUUUUAUGAUUAGCAUGUUUUUUGGUUUUAAGAUAUCUUGUUUGAUGCUAAUUCGAGGUUCAUGUGUUUGUAGAAAUUUGCAUGGGAACAAUCUUGUUUGAUUAUCUAAUUUGGCGAAUAUAAUGAACUAAUUCCACUUGUUUACUUCUAGAAAGAUUUUGUAACAGUUUUUAGAAAACUGUAAAAGAUAACAGUUUUUGCCACGCUGGUACUAAACUCAAACUCUUUAGGUUGUUUUCAUUCUAUACUUUACUGAUCGACUCAUGAGUACUUUAAUGUGUUAGCUACUUGAACUUGGUAGACAUGAGUUUUAAUCCUAUAAUCUGUUUAUAAAUAUAAGCAACAUAGUUAAUGCAUUAUCAAAUUAAUAAUGUAACAUUUUGUUAUUGUCACUGUUGAUACAAAAAGUGUUACAAUAAUGUUUACAUCUUGUGACACUUUUUGAAUGUUAAGAGAUAAUACUAUAAAGUGUAAUAAACCUCUUUUGUAAGAGGGGCUUUACCUAACAAUUGUUCAAAUGUUACUAAAUUGAUUUAGUAACUUUUUUCUUCAUUUAGUAGCAAUUUUCAAGUGUUACUAGAUCUCAAUUAUGUUGUUGUGCAUGAAUGGAGAAACCCUCAGCAGGAGCUUAUAAGCAUUUUUCUUGAUUUGUAUAGUUUACAUACACAAAUAAUGGCUUCCUUAUUUUUCGUUAUUGUUUCUCAUUUUCGUUUUACUUCAAGAUAUGGAUUUAAAAUGCUUUAGGUGACUUUGUAUAUUGCAAAAAUUUCUUGAUUGACCUUAGUGGUGCCAUUUCUUUCUAUUUUAGUCUGGAAGACCCUAACGGUUAGGUAUGUUCACAUUACGACAAUUAAAUGGCAUCUAAUCGAAGAAGAUUGUCGAAGCAAACAUCUGAUUUUGGGUUAGAAGCAUGGAAUUAAUGGGGUUAAUAGUUGGUUUGUUCAUUAUAAUCAUUUUCCUUGUGAUAUUAACAUGUCUUACUUUAAAAAAGAAAUCCAAGAGUCAACGGCAUGAAUCUAAAAAAACACCAAAUGUCAAUAAAGACUUCAGAAAGAUUAAAGGAUGUUAGAAUAAGAUCAAAAUCAUUUCAUGGGAACUACAAAUAUUGAAGAACAAGAUUAAUUGACCAAGAAAAUAUGAGAUUAUAAGUUGAUCCAUGUUAAUUUUAGGAACAAAUUUCUUCAAUGGAAAGAAACUUCAGAAUAGACAUCUCAAAGACUUCAGAUUGCAUAUCAGAAUAUCAAAAACACUCUAUAAUGGCUAAAAGAAGAAGUUCAAAAUUGCUAUUCAACAUUGAUUCUCAUCUCACAAGUUAAGAUCAAGCUUUUUGAAGUAAAUAAUGGAAAUCAAAUGUACUUGAGAUACAAAUCGGGUAUAUUAGAAUUUUAAGUGAAGGGAUACAGAGGAUUGAAGAUCGAAAGAUCAUAAGAAAAUCAGAAUGAUACCAGAAGCAGAGAUUUGGAAAAUACCAAACAAAUUGAUGGAAGAAUCAGAAUCAAAUCGGAAAAAGAUCGAAAACAGAAAAUCAAAAUUGCUUGAAAAAUAUCAUAAUCGUAUUUCAAGUUGAGUUUCAUUAUCAAAUGUCAUAUAGCAAUCACAAAUACAAUCAAGCCUCUUGCAUAUCUUUGGAACAUCUUUUACAUGAUAUUUGAAAAGUUCAGAUUCACCUUUGAGUGUUCAGAUUGAACUUUGAUAAAAAAAUGUUCAGAUUCACCUUUGUGUGAUCAAUUUUAACUUAGAGAGAAAGAGAUAAAGGUUAUUGUGAGAUCAAAUUGAUCAAAUGUUAAGAGCAAGAUCACAAAAAAAUUAUGUAAUCAGUUCUAAAGCUUCACUAAUCCUCUUUAAGGUAUAAAGACGGAUUGUGUGGUAGUUAAAGUCUGAAGAGAUUGUCCAAAACUUUUACGGUCGGGUAAACCAGAAAUUAAGAGAAAGUUUGCAGAAUCUAAAAGGGCAUCUCAAACACCAUAUUGAAAAAUAUCAUAGUCUGUGAGACGUAGACUAGCCCAAUUAGGGUGAAGCAGUAUAACUUAUUUGUGUCAUCUACUCUAUCCCUUAACUCCUUUGUUUGAUAGUUCAAAAGUAAGUACAACCGUCCAAUCUCUUCUUAUAUCAAAUUCAUUUUGAUACAUAUUUCAGAUCACCAGAUUUGAACAUCUUUUCAUGUUUGAGAAGCAGCCAAAAUUUUCAAAGGGUGACAAUCCAAAAACCCUUCCUUGUGACCAUUAUUCUUACAUCACAGAGGACCAUUCAAUCAAGAGAAUAUAAUUUUUUUUACUUUGUUUCCAAUAAAGAUACAAAUUUGGAGGGAAAAAAAAUGAAUAAACCUAACAAAAUUUAGUUGAAGCCAAAGAAACACACUUGCAAAAGAAAAUAGAAACUGAAAUUGUAAAGUAAGAAGAAGAAAGAAACAAUCAACAACAGUGAAACCUUCAUUUCUCAUGUCCAGCUCUUGCAUUUUCAUAUAUAGUAACAGCUUCUUUCAUCACCUCAUCUUGAGAAAGCAAUUUUGCUCUUUUUUGUCCUGAUGGAUGAGUACUGAAAUAAUUGAGAAAAGAAUCGCCGAAAAUUUUUCCGAACUUCUCAUAGACUUUAGGUGCCACCCGGGGAUCAUAGCCAGCCGAUGCAAGUAAUAGAAGCCGAAUGUAAUCAGCUUCAAUUUCUUGUCUAAAAAUAGUGAAUAAUGAUAUUACAAUCAUUCAUCACAUAUAGCUUAAAAGAACACAAUUUCCCAUUUCAACAUGGAAAUAUUAGCUUAAUUGCACUUUUGUGAAAAAUUAUUGUUGAUGUAUCCAGAAAGAAAGUUAAAAGGAAGCACAACCAGUAUUGAAAAAAAUUACGAACACAUUUCAGGAAACCUUGGGAGUUAGGAACAAGUUUGUCAAAAUAAUAUUUUGAUUUAGAUCGAAAGAGGUUAGCAAGAUUGCAAAACCUAAAACCGCAACCAAAAUUGAAGGAUUCUACUCAAUUGAUAUUGUAGAAUCCAAAGGGGACGGCAUGAUCGCAAAAUCGAAGAUCGCCACCAAAAUUGAAGGAUUUUACUCAAAUAAUAUUAAAUAUAUACUAUAAAGUGCAUAAACUACUUAAAGUUUAAAAUCUUAAAGCAAUCGUAAAACAACCAAUUCUCAGAUAUUAAAACAUAAACAACUGAAAGUCAAAUUUUAAACAUAAAACAAACUACAAAACUUAAACAUAAAUGACUCAAAGUCCCAAAUCUCAAAUAUAAAAUAACCAAGCCCACAUAAUAUUCAAAACCUAGAUGCUACAAGCAUACAUCGCAUCACAAACACACUAAUAUUCAAACGGAUUUUGCAUAGUUUACGGUUCAAAUCGGUAAGGCAUCAGAAAAUCGCAAAAUCAUUGGAUUUUAGGAUUCUGAUGAGGAUUUUAACAACAAUGGUUAGGACUAACUCACACUUUAACAAGAAACAAAUGUAAAUGAAAAACUUCAUAUACAUGUACCCAGUGUGUAUAUGUUACAUGCUUCAAAAUGAGAUUCAUUAUGGUAAUAAGAUUUAUAAAUUUCAAAUUGGCUAGAAUACUUUGAACCUAGUACACACAAACAUACAUAAUGUUUCUCACUCAAUAAUAUCCUAUGAGUUUAUCUCAAAUACAUAAAAUAUGUUAAGAUUUUAUUACUAAAUGUAAUUAACUUCAUUGAAUUACAUGUUUUCUUUUCAACAAACACGCCAUAGUGGUUUGUUCUUUAUAUGAAAUGCUAUCAUGACGGCAUUCCUAAAGCAUGGAACUGAUACAUUAUGAAACGAUUGCACAUUAUGUGACAAGUAAUUGGACUGCUGGGAAUAAAAGGACUGAAUUCGCUUCAUAGUAAACAUAAAAUAGGCACCAAAGACGGUGAAUUUGAAGGGCAAGUCGAAAGGAAUUCCUGAUAGGAACCUUACUUUUGGUAUAUGGAAAGUGAGUGUUAUGGAUUUGGUACUGGACAAGGUUACUGGUUUGAAUUUGUGUGCAGGUUUAGUGAAAAAGGAGUUAGACUAGAAAUAUAAAGUAGAGAAAGAUAAAACUAUUACUUCCUGCUUGUUAGUAAUAAGUUGUUUGUAUUUUUCUUCUUUGCUUGGGUUUGAACCCGGGACCUCCAAAUCCUUUAACUCCUAGCUCAAAGCAGUUGAUAUACUAUACCUGGGACCUGGUAGAGUCAGUGAUAUUGUUUGCAAAUGCAAACCAUGGCGAAAAUCCAAAAUAUUGACAUGGCCGAUAUUUGACAACACUGCGUAGAAUAACAAAAAACCUGCUGAGAGGUAUGAGAACUCCACCUACAAACUAAAGUUACUUCCGGUUUUGAAGCUCCAUCUAGUAUUCCAUGUCUCAGGAAAGGAAAAAAAAGGGCACUGGGAAUUAUAUUGUUGAGGCUAAAUAACGAGAAACAACUUUGGCUAGUAGGGGGAUCAUAAAGGUCUGUGGUAAAGAGCGGCGGUACUUAGUUUGGUGGAAAAUCUUGGUUGUUGAGGUUUCUACUUGGAAUUUUGCCACAAUCUAUGUUACGAUCACACAAUUUACAAUUCUAACUUUCUCUCCCAUGUCCAAAAAAUAUCUUGAUUUUGACACAAAUUAUCAUAAUAUUCUGUACAAAAUGUUAUACGAUUCUAUAUGCUAUCAAAGAUGUCUCUGAAAGAUGUCAACUGUCAAGCAUUUGGAAAUUGUUUGCUAUCAAAUGCCUCAUGAAAGGUCACAUAAUGAAUGCCUUUUUUUACGGAUGAAAAUUCCCAGAUCAGAUUAUUUGAAACCAUUUUAAUCAAGUAGAUAAGGAAGGAAUCAUUACCGUCUCGAGAAAAGAAGCAUUAUGGAACGCGCUGCUAUUAAGUUGACAAUAAGAGACGCGCUGUUUAUUUUAGAAAACACUUAAUUAAGUAGAUAAGGAAGGAAUCAUUACCGUCUCGAGAAAAGAAGCAUUAUGGAACGCGCUGCUAUUAAGUUGACAAUAAGAGACGGAAAAGAGAUGAAAGGAAGUAAUAUCAAUUGUUGGAUGAUAAAAAACAUAUAGUCUGUCUGGUCCUCAGCUGCAUGUCUAGCAACAGUAUGUCCAACCUAAUUAUCAAGCUGAAAAAUGUUAGAUUUAUGUCUUAAAUAUAUUAAAAUGCAGAAAUAUAUAGCGGCCUUGUUUGAAUACAUAACUUAAUUAAGUGUUUUCUAAAAUAAACUAUCCAAACAACUUAUUCAAAUGUCAUACAUUCUUUCUAGAAUCUCUAUCAAUCAGUCUCAUAAGUGCUUAUAGAAGUAGAUAAAUUUAAUUAAGUCAAUCCAAAAAGUUGUAUUAAUGAGUUAAACAAAUCAAUCCAAUACCUCAUGUGCAAUAAGAGUCGCUAAGUCAUCACUGGUUAAAAGCUCAAGCAAACCUGUAAAUACCAUUACCUUCCCAUUAGGAUAGGAGUAGGCAUUAGCAAUAGUGUUGUCAUUCACCACCAAAAUACCCCAAUUCAAUCCGUCUAAAUGCGACGUACAAGGCUGAUGAGACUGACGUUGAUUCGCCUUUUUCCUACUCUUCCCUAAAUCAUCACGCCACAUAUUCUUUUUACUCAAGUCUCUCUUCAAUGCAUCAAAAAUACGAUUCGCUAUCAUCCUCACUCUCACACUUUCAGGGUGUAUUUCAGGCAAUAAAUCCUCCUUAAAAUCUAACUUCUUAUUUUCAAAACUACUGUCCCCAGCCAUCCUAUCUCGCGCAUUUGACCAAAGAAGCAAAUGUUUUCGCUUAGUGUAAGGAACAUUUUGCAAAUUUCCAUAUUUCACAGUAAUAAGAACACCUGAACCAACAACUAGUACAACGAAAACACAUCGAUACACAUUGUAAAUUAUCUUAAAUUUGUCGUACUAUUCUGUUGAAAACAACCCUUUGUGCUGCCUAAUUUCUUAGAAUUGAAAUACCGGGAUAUGAAAAUUCUGGAAUUUUGUGAUGAAACCCUUGAAGAAAAUGUAUGAAAACUAUCAAGAAGAAGUUUCCCCCUUUUAUACAACCCCGCCAUGAUUUCUGAUAGAAUAGAAAUGUUGAGAAUCAGAGAUGCUGAUUAUGAUGGGAUCUUCAUAACAGAUGUGCACGUGGAAAUGUGAUUUGCAUUCAAUAAUUAAAAAUAAAUAGAAAAGAAAAUAACUCUCUAAAAAGAGACAAUAACUCUCACUUUCCCAUCUGUCUCUCCUCAAACACUUUCCUAUCUAUUUGCGAACAAAUUCACUCUCAAAAUCUUUUUUUUGAAGAAGCUAAACUAACCCCCUCAAAUUGGCACCAGAGAUUCGAACCUGAGACCUUGAGGAGGAGCACACUCCCAGGUCCCAAGUGGGUUUUUGCUCUCAAAAUCUCAUUGUCCUCCUGUAAGAGAAUCGAUGGAGGCAUCAGAGGCUGCAACAAUUUGCAAGCAAAACUUGUCUCGUCUCGAUGGAGAAUUAAUCGGUGGCUGCAACUAUUGAAAAGGUCAGCAAAUAUAUACGAGAUGAUAUUGCCUUAUCAAUUCUAUCAAAACUUCUUCUAAAAUCUUGGAUGUGUUCGCAAAUCAUGAUCUCUCUUGUUUCAAAACCCAUGUUACAAAACGAACAAAAGAACAUCGUAGAGAGAUGGAGGAUGACGCUCUCAUAUCUAAUUCCAUUUCUUUAUCAUGGAAUAUUUUUUUAAUUGUUUCUGUCCUGUUAUUAUUUUCUUUUGCAAGUGAUUUACAUGCUACUCAAACUCUGCACAAUUUGAGAGCACAAAAGCUUAGUGACAAGAACAUUAUGCGAAAUUUGAGAUUGAUAGAAAAUUUGUAAAAUAGUACUAUUAGGACAUUGUAAAAUUGAUACAUAACGAAUUGGCUUUUUUGGGCAAGAUACAUUAUGAAUUGUAGUUUCAUUAUAAAACAUUUAUCUCUGUAAUUCGGUUUGUAACUCUUUUUAGAUAUAUUGAACAUCAACAUAUGGAAUUUAAGUUUCACACGAUCACAAUAUAGAAGACAGUUUGAGGGUGUUUGCAAGCAACACAUGUUUAGAAUUUUUUUCUAACUAUCCCAAUUGAUGAGUUAGGUUAGCAUAUGUCACCAGUGGAAUAUUGUACUCUCUUUAAAUAUCGCCUUAUGAUUCCACAAUUUUCUAUUAAUGUGAGGUGUCCUGUUUUGCCGUAGACGUGCUUGAAUACUUUGGGAAUACAGUUCAUUGUUAGGAGCUUCCCGGCUUUAAGUACAAACAUGAAUUAGUUAUAUGUUUUUUGCAGUUCUAUUGUUUCAUUCAAAAGAUUAAAUUCUUGUUAGGUUGGUUUAGAUGAAGGUAUUGAAGUGUCAAGGAAUGCACCUCAUUCUUUUGACACUUAAUACCAUCAUUUAAACCAAGCCUAACAAGAAUUUAAUCUUUUGAAUGGAACAAUAGAACUUCCGGGUGUAAGUUUGAGAGCUGUCUUUUAGCUAGUUUAAAUUUACCAUUUCAGAGGUGAGACAAUUGUUGUAGUUUGAAGGUAAAACCUGAAUGUAAUGUAAUGUAAUGACAUGACAUAUUUAGGAACUUUAUGUAUUGUAAUGUAGUUUCAAAACAACAUGUAUUAUGCAUAAUCAUCUAUAUAAAUUAUGAUAUCGAAUUCCUUCAUAUAAGAUGAGUGUCACGAAAUGCACCUCAUUCUUUAUGUGAUGACUCGUCUUAUACGAAGGAAUUUGAUGUGAUAACAUAUAUAGUUGAUAUACAUGUUGUUUAUGUAAUGUAAUGUAACUUUUAUUCGAAUUUAUUCAAUACGCAACUUUAUUUGAAUUCACGCUGAGUUUAAUUAAUCUUUUUUUCGAUUUUUUUAAUACGCAACUUUAUUCGAAUUUAUUCAAUACACAAUUUUUAUUCGAAUUGCUGAAUUUAUUCAAAUUUAUUUAUUCGAAUUUAUUAUUCAAUACGCAAUCAUAAAAUAAAUGCAAAAAUUAACAAAAAUAAAGAAACAAAAAUAAUAGAUAUAAAAUAUCAUUUUAUUAAUAUAAUUCUUAUUACAUUUACAAUGGGGUAAAACUAAAUAUGCGAAAAAAUAAAAACCACCAGAAAACCUAGCUUCCGGUGUAAAACUAAAAGAAAUCCACAAGAAAACCAGCCUUCCUGGGGUAAAUCUGCACACUUAGUUUUACCCAUUCUGGUUCUUUUUUUCCCAAGAAAGUUGCUCACUAAUCAUCAUUUUAUCCCCAGAGAUGACCUUUUUCUCUUUUUACACCAAAAUAAAGAAGGAACAUAAUGAAAUUCAUAGGGGGAGAGAGUGAGGAGUAGAGUGAGAGAAUGUGAGAUGGUGUGAGGAAAUUGAGAAGUUUGGAGGGGUAUUUAUAGGUGGUUUAAGGUAACAUAGCACUUAAUGAGGUCAAAAAACGUGAAAAAACUUCAAAAAAAAAAAAAAAAAAAAAAAAAACGUGUAAAAACCCUUAAAAUGCAUUGACCACCGUCCAAAAAACGUGUAUUCUUGAGCUCUAACCACCGGCCAACUUGCGUGAAUUAACUCGCGCACAUGCCAGUGGUGCAUGACUUAAGUCACGCAGAGCUUAUAAGGUGCGUGAGUUAAGUCACACGGCGUGACUUCACUCACUCAAGGGGGUAUAAUUGUCCAAACAGUUUGGUGCGAGCAAAAAUUGCUGGAAGAAGAGCAAAAUUAUAAGAAAAUAACAUGAUUAUUGCUCUUUAGGCACCAAGUGAUUGCUCCCAUGCACCCACCAAACUACAAUUAACUAUUGUUUGGCUCUUUUGAGAUGGGUUUAGAUACAACUUUGCUCUCCAUCGACGAACUUCCAACGCCAUAAAGUUCAAGUCGCAGGUACAUAACUAACAUCACAUUCGAUAAAGAUAAUUUAUUAAAUGGUAACCUCAUCUCAAAUUCUAAUUAAGUGAGAGAUUUAUCUUGUUUGUAUUUAUUGUAAGUGAUACAUGUGAUGUGAUACAUUCAUGGUUGAUUACGAUAAAAAUUAACUUUUUUUUAAUAGAAAGCUAUUCAUCUUUUACAUAUUAAGAAAUAUGCAAAACGUACAAACUCUGGGUGAUAAUUACUCUAAUCAAAUGUAAAUAAACCACUCUUUACUUGAGAAGUAAUAAUUUAAAUUAUUUAUAUAUGUACUACCUUAGAUACAAUACAACUGUUAUUUUUAAAAACGGUGAUAUGUUGAUAGAAAGUUUAAUUUAUGAUCACAAUUUUAAUGUUCCUUACAUGGGUUCCAGCGAAACUUCUCUUCAUUCUAAUACUUUUUUGACACAUACAGUCUGUAAUUGAUAAUCUCAUCUUAUAUUUUAGAUUGGUGAGAUAUUGUCUUGUCUGUAUUUCUCAAAAGUAACACCGCAAUGCAUGUGAUACAAUUAAGACUGAGUAAAAUGAAAUUUGUCGUUUUUCAUCAGGAUGAUCUUAGUCAUAUCUCUUUACCUAUGUUAUUUACUAAAAAGUAAACUUUUCAAAUCUAGUAAAAAUGGACUAUACACUUAUUUUUCAUCUUUAAAGAAUUGUGGAUCCUAUUUCAACACAAGUUCCUUUAGGAUAUUUGUUAGCAUGACCCAAUCAAAUAACAGGCAAACCAUGAACAAAAGACUCUUGGAAAGCACACAUGUUUAGGCAAGUUUUAGUUUGCUUAAUAGAUUGAAUAGUUUUGUCAAGAAAAAAUUGAUUGGUUAAUCAAUACAAUUGGUAGUUACAAUGAAUUUUCUAUUUAAAAACUUUUCACGCGCAGUUGAAAUCUCAACUUCCUUAUAUAUAUUAGCGGAAAGACGGACACGAUUUCUACUGCGCUAACGCAUGUGAUUAUUUUAUUAUGUUUGUUUGUAUAAUUUUUAUUAAAAUUUUGAAAUUUCAAAAUAUUAAUGGAAAUUAUUGAUAUAUUGGUUUAUAAACAAAAUAUUGUCAAUGCGUAUAGCAAAAUUAUUUUUGAACUCAACAUAUUUUAGUUUGUCUGCAUAUAAAAUUAAGAUAAAAUAAUGAUUAUUUAGAGUUUAUUCUAAUAGUAAUUAGUAACAUCAUAACAUAAAUGUAUAAAUGACAUGUUAUGUAAAAGAAACAUUGUUAUAAUUACGAUAAAAGAAUAUCUUUAAAACUACAUUUUUCGUAAAGUCUCCAUCUUCUCCUUCUAUUUUUCUUUAUUUAAUGAGAACUUUGGUUAAAUUUUGAGAAACUCAUCUUCAUAAAGCUACAUAUAAAUGACCAUUCAUGAAAGAUAGAUUUAGACAUUGAGAAUGGUAUGCCCUUGUGACUUAUUUAUGGUAAUAGCAAAACUUAGUCUAACGGGAAACUGUUUUCUACUAAGCACAAAGGGAAGUCUUGAACUCGCAUUUGUUUUUAAUUUAAUUAUGGGCAAGAAUGCUCUUUUUCAAGCAUUGCUUCCCGUUAGGAUUUCCACAUUCAACAUAUUCUUAAAUAAAUUACGACAUAACAUCCGUGUCCUAUUACACAGACCAUAUCUAGGGUUUAUGUUUCGCAACAACAUCAAAGGUGCACCUUUUUUUACCUUUAAAAUAUGUGGUGGGAUACUUACUUGAGUAAUUGAGUCUAAGAAUUCCGGUUGAUAUGGUAGUGUAGCCACUUGUUUCUUUCUACCCUAUUUAUUUGUCUUUAAUCCACCGGUUCUAUUUCCACUUCUAUUUGAUUUUUUUUCUUUUCUAUUGUGAUUACGAAUUAUGAUAUUACUCCUCACCUAUGAAUCACAUACACUCCUCACAUUAGAUGUGUCUGAACACGUGUUGCAUCACCGUCCACAAAUAUAAUUAACCUAAAUUAUGUGAUUUUCUCAAAUUAUAACGUCAUUGGCGUGUCAGUAUUCAUGAUGUAUCUAGUGUCGGUGUUCAUAUCCAUACUUCUUAAUCAACGGUCCUCUCUUAAUGGUCUCUAAGAUGGUGGUUUGAAUGUAACCAAAAACAGAAGAUGGUGGUUUGAAGUUUUAUAGUCUUUCUGUUUUUAGUUGUUGGUAAGAUGAGUGUGAUUAUGGUUUAACAAUUUUGAAUUGUUUAAAUGAUUUUAACACUUUCAUUUCACUGUAUUUUGUUGGAUAUUGGAUGGGGGCCAUGGGAGCAGUUUAUCAAUUGUAUACAUGCAGAACGACACGGGAAGGAGCUUAACGGCAGGGGAUGUUAUUUCUUAUUUUCCCUUUAUUUAAUAAUAAUUAUAAAAAAAAAAACCACGGUUCUCUUUAUAUAAAAAAAAAAAAUCACGUUAUCAUAGUUUGUAUAAGCAAUUAUAAAUCAGCAAAGUCAAAUAAUCCUCAAAAUUAAUCGUAAAUAAUUUGAAUCAUAAUCACUUAUAAACCAGCAAAGUCAAAUAUAAUGCAUAAAAUUAAUUGACUCAUGAAGGAUUUAAAGUCCAAUCUUUAAUAUUAUUUUUUGCUCAUGUUUGUUACUAAUAUUUUUUUUUAGAGGAUUUAAAGUCCAACCUUUAACAUUAUUUUUUUGUCACGUUUGUUACUAAUUUUUUUAUAGCAUUUAAAGUUCAAUCUUUACCAUUAUUUUCUGUUCACGUUUGUUACAAUUGAUCAAAGGCUAAGGAAGGAUAACAUAAUAAAAUAAUAUGGAAAUACUAUUUUUUGUGGAAGUAGUAAAAUAAUAUGGAAAUAUUGUUUUUUGUGGAAGAGAUAUGAAAAUACUUGGCAAUCUUUGUCGGUUGUAUUGGGGGGAAAAAACACAUAUGUACAACAUAAAAUCGACCGAUAAAAAAGUAACAUGACUUUUAGUUUUGUGCUAGUUUUUUGUGAGUUUGAUCGUAGACGAUUAGUGACAUAGAUUAGUAAUCCACGUGUUAUUUUAUAAUUGGCUAACAAUAAGAACAGUUCAUAAAGAAUUGUGUGUAAGUUUUCUUAUUAAAUAAAAUUUAUUCUUAUCUAUUUGUUACACGUGUUAUUUGUAUUUAAAAUUAAAAUUAAAAAUUAAGGGUAUUUUUGAAAUGAAAAGUCCAACCCAAAAGUGUGCUGAAAUGGAUAAUUUUCUUUAGAUAUAGUAUAGAUUAAAACAUGAAAAUAUGUCGUAUAAGUUAAUUGGUAGGAUUAAUGCAUAUAUAUAUAUAUAUAUAUAUAUAGGUUUGAUUUCGAUCCUAGAAUUUCACACUUAUUCGAUGAAAUUAUAACCAAUAUAAUUAACAAAAAAAUUGAAACAAACAGCUUUAUACAUAUGACACUCAUGCCUUAUACUCCCUCCGGUCCUUAUUAUAAAAAGAGUAGUGAUACAUAGAUCACCUUAGAUGGCAUGUACCACUUAUACACCCAUACACAAUUGUGACAUGUGUCCAUGUGGUCCCCACAUACACAAGAAACUCACAUUCACACACUCUCACAUGGGAGUGGUACAUAGUGUGUAUGCAGAAAAGGGUGUUCAUGAAACAUUAUCCUUAUAAAAAACAGUUGACUUUUACGUUCAUUAAAUAUUUAAUGUAUCUCGUUAUAAAUAUAGAUUAGAUAUAUCACAUACACAAUGAAUCUAAAAAGUCAAUUGUUUCUUAUAAUAAGGACCGGAGGGAGUAGAUUUCUAUUAAAAAAAAAAAGUUAAUUUUUACUAGGUUUAUUGAAUAUUUAAUUAAAGUUAAGAAGUUAAAAAUGGAAUUAAUUAAUAAAUGCACAAGUUAAAAAUAUAAAAUUUAAAGUUUUCAAAAUUAAAAAUACACAAUUUUCAACAUUUAAUUUCUACUUUUGAUUUCUUAUCUUGUGCCCAAGUUAGCAUUUUCCUUAAUUAAUUAAUUAAAAAUGAUACCUCCGUCCCUAAUUAUAAGACUACUUACAAAAUAGGGUUUGUCCCUUAAUAUAAGGUUAUCUACAAAUUUCAUGAUGCAUUUAUUAUUCUUUUUCCGACUAUAACCUUAAUUAAAAGUUAAUAUUAAAUAUAUCUAUACACAAUGGACAAUUUGGUAAUAGAAAUAUAUACCUCUUUAAAAUGGAGAAUUAGUUAAUUAAUAUAGACCAUUUACUUAAUUAAAAAUGAUACUCCCUCCGUCCCAAAUUUUGAAUAUUAAAUAACUUAAUUAAUAUGAUAAAUUACUUAAUCAAUAUACAUCAUUUACUUAAUUAAAUGUAUCAUGAAAUAUGAAAAGUUGAUACUCUCUCUAUCCCAAAUUCUGAAUAUUUUGUAUAGAUCAUUUACUUAAUUAACCUUUUUAAAUUUAAUUGUCGAGGAGCCCUAUGGGCCCACAUAUACCUCUUUCCCAAUGUAUAUAAUACAUACUUUGUGACUUUCUUCUCUUUCUUUUACAAAGUUUUUUUUGUUAGUUUUACACUUGUGACAUUGUAUUUGACCAAUGAGCAAUGUCAUCAAUAUCACCAACCACACUGUCACCCAAGAGUUAUCCCCGGCCAUAGAGUGCUUAAGAUUAAAGUUUCAAACAAGCACAAGACAUGGAUUAUUUGGAGCAGCUACUAAUCAAGUUUCUUAUUCAAUUAGAAAGUUAAACACUUCUAAUUUAAGCUAUUGUUUACACCAUAUGUUUCUAAACUUGUAAACACCAAACAUUUCAUUGUUACAACAUUGUAAACACACAGAGACUAACAUAACAUCUAAUUUCCACUUUCACAACCAUAAACCAUUAAUAUAAUAAUGUUAGGUUACAAGUUUAGAAACAUUCCACAUUCACUCAAAUUUCAAACAUUGUUAUAAAUUCUAAAUAAGGAGCAUACAUAACAUGUAUCCUAAAUCUACUUGCUACAACCAUAUCAGAGCUACAUUUAACCAAAUACCUACUGGUACAUAAUAUAACAAUUUUUCUUAUAGUCAGAGAAUCAAAUGGAUACUUCAUCUCAUCGGUCAAUAAUUCUAAGAAUCAAUGAGUCAAGCAUGAGCAUCUUAAUGGCUAGGGUUAGACAUGCUCAUCAUCCGCAGAUGAUGAUGAGUUGCCAGAGCCUUGGCCAUUGCCGAAAGAAGCGAAGUUAAAACCUGCCGGUGACAUGAUAGGCUUCAUUCCACCAAUAUCAGUUCUCAAUUCUUCGGCAGAAACAUGAUUGUUAAUAUGAGAUGAUGUAGGAGGGGCAGUUGGUGCCGAAUGAUCGACCCUCUGCCUCUUUGGAUUCUCCUUCUCUGGAAAAAAACUCGCAACCACAACCUAAUGCAUAAACAAAGAGGGAAAAGUGCUCAGUCAAAUGUAACUAAUAAACUUACCAAUAUAUAGAUACAAUAUUUUUCUAACCAUUUUCUUUUAGAAUUUUUGAAAAUAGAUCUAACAUUUUCAGAAAUCUAGAAAGUGUCGAAACACUGUUUUCAUUGUUUACGAAUAAGGAUUCUUCCUAUGUUCUAUAUCAGAAUUGUUCACUAUAUGAGUUUUUCAUCACCAUUUUAUUAAUUUAAAAUGAAAACAGGUUUUAGAAAAUGAAGACUGAAAAAUGUUUUUAGAAAAUCUGCAGACCCUUAGUUUUUUUUCAUUUAAGUAGUAGUUGAUAGCAUUGCAUAAAAAUAAUGCAUGGUCGAAAUUCCAAUCAUCCUUACCAUCAUCAAUCAGCACCAGUGUUAUUUCCUUUUAUAACAAAGGUUAAUUAAAAUGCUCUUAUUAACGAUUUUUCACGAGCUAUCUAGCAACGACAGUUCAGAUUGAAGGCGUGUUCGGUGUCAGACACAACACCGACACAUGUAAUUGCAUUCAAUUAUUCUAUCUUCUCAAAUUAUUACAAGUGUUGACUUGUGAGUCCCAUGUCCACAUCCACGUCAGUGCUUCAUAGUUCACAAGUUUUUUCUAAUAUUCUAUCAGAUAUCUAUAUUCUUCUAAAAUGAAACAAAAGUUACCUGCACAGAACCAGCAGCUACCAGCAAACCAGCCAGUGCACCCCCAAAAACACGACCAUUUGAACCUGCCAGUGAGACACUCAUUCUACCAGAUCUGCUCUUUGUCAAUCCAUUCUCGGUUGGCACAAAUGAGCCGCUCAAGGAAAGAAUCUCGAAAACUCCCUGUAAAAGCACAAAAUAUGUGUCACCCCAUUUUAUUUGAUGGUUUCAUCUAGUGUUAUAAUUAAGAAGAUCCGCAAUAAUUUAAGAGUGUGUUCUUAGCAUUUCUUAGUAGGAAAAUAGCAGUGAAUCAACUCGGUGUGAAGUUAGAGCAAAUUAAUGGCAAAUAAUUUUGAAUCAAAACAGAAAUUCAUAACAUGAAAGAAGUGUUAUGUUUGAUUAUACAAUCACUUUCCCUUUGAAUUGUUGCAUGCCACAAGUACAACACAAUGUAGCACUGACACUUAAGAUUGAAGAUGUGUUCGGUGUCCAACACGCAUAUGUGUCUGACAUUGGUAUGACACCGGCACAUAUGGCUACAUUCAAUCACUUUUACUAUAUUAAAUUAUUACCCAUGUCGGUGAAUGUGGUUGUACUUCGUAGGUCAUAAGCCAUAUUUACAAGGGACAAUCAUAAAAAGUAUUGAAACUAUGGAGAUUCUUUCAAACAAAGGGAUGGAAUUAUAUCAAAACAAUGGAGCAUAAAAGACCACUUAGCACAUAUAUAAUAGGACACUUCAAAAAAACAAACCCAUGGACUUGCCCUCUAAAAAAUUCACAUUUGAUAUCUAAUGCAUACAAUGGCAGAAAUAGAAGGCUUUGUAUAACCACACAUGCAUUGUUGUUAUACUUAAAUAUCCGAAUUAAUGUUAAGUUUUAAACAACAAUGAACUUCUUUAUAUCAGUGCUAAUGAAAUAGGAAUGAACUAACCUCAUACGUUGAAGUACCGCCACAAGCAUCCGACUGGCGAAGUGUUACAUUCGAAAUUGUGCCAGUCGCAGACAGAAUGGAUAUAGUAUGAUAUUCUUGUUGAGAAAGAGACAUUAUUUUCAUCGAGACAUCCUAAAACAGGCCAUAGGAAAAUCAACAAUACAAUUAACAAAUAUAUUUGGGUAUUGAGUUGUACACAUCCAUACUAAUCUAAAGAAAGUACUACAGAGAAAAGGAAAGAAAAAAACGGAUCGGUAAUUCUGGUAAUAAAAAAAGCGGAUCGCAUUCUGCCUACUUUCACUUACACCUCACUCAAUCAUACUCCAACAACCUCUUUAUUAUUAUUUUAAGGAAAUUGUUUUCACGCUCAUUCCAAUUCCAAUCUCAUGCUUCAUAUCCAAUGGAUCCAAUCAUUGUCACAGUCUUGUGCUCCAUUAUUUCUCUUCAAACUUUUAUUUCGAGGAAUUCGAUCCCUAUCCGAGUUUAUCAUCAGUUUUCGUUGUGUUUUCAUAAUUCUAUAUCUUCCGUUAGUAGUAAGUAAUAGCAAUGGCGGAUUUGAUGAAGUGAUGUUUUCUUGUUUUUUUUUUUAUCUUCACAGGCUAUGUUUGUUUACAUUGAGUUGAUUUUUUUUGUUCAAUUUAUUGCAUUGAAAUACUAGGUUUUUCAAUUUGAACCUGUGUCAAUGCUAUUUCUCUUCAAACAUUUAUUGUGAAUAAUUCAAUCCAUAUCAUGUUUAUAAUCAGUUUAUGGUUGUUCUCAUUAUUCAGUAUUUGUCGGCGGUUCUCAUAAAUUGAUCAUAAACAGGAUAUGGAUCGAAGUCUUCAAAAUAAAACAUUUGAAAAGAAUAGCAUUGACACAGCUCCAAAUUGAAAAACCAAUUAAGUCCGUACAAGCAAAUUAAAAAAUAAAAUCAACUCAAGGUAAAGGAACAUAGCUACUAAGAUUAAAAAUAUAUAAAAAUCAAUUGGUUGAUCAAAUCCGCCUUGCUAUUUAUUACUUACUAAAAUUGUGAAAACACAACAAAAACUGAUGAUAAACAUGGAUAUGAAUCAAAUUUCUUGAAAUAAAACAUUUGAAGAGAAAUAGCAGAGCAUUAACAAAAGUUUACCGAUAUUAUUAAAACGAUUGUCUACAUUGUAUCUGAAGCAUGAGAUUGGAAUUGGAAUGAGCGUGAAAACAAUUAGCUGGAAAUGGUAAGGGAAGCGGCAAGGGAAAGGAGUUGGAGUAUGAUUGACUGAGGUGUAAGUGAAAGUAUGCAGGUGAGUUAGUAAAUGUGAGUGACGUGAUUAGGUCAACAUCUAGGUCUGGCCAUCACGCUCUCUGUUAAUUGCCAUUGCACUUUGAUUAUUGCCAAAAUUACCGGACCGCUUUUUUCUGGCAGCACAUAUAAAGAAGGGGAAAUAUCACAUUUAAAAAAGGGGUUUAUAUUAGAUGGUAAGAUUACAUUGUAUUCAACCCCACUGAUCACUUGCAUUGAACAAAAUGUAUUAAGUUUCAAUGAGUAAACAAAAAUGAUUAGCCAUAAAGCUUCUUCUGAAUAUGGCAUUCAAAUAAGUUUUUUGGAUAUAAUCUAACUAUUUUCAGACUAUAGGCUUAAAAGGAAUGAACAGAUUACCUCUCCAGAAUUUACAGUAAGCACGUGUGUUUUGAAAUUGGAACCAAAGGGUGAUAUUCCAUUAUCUACAAAAUAGUUCCAAAUGCAUAAAUCAUAUGAGUUAAUAAAUAACCAUUUUAUACAUUUUCACAAAAUGUCAUUAGUCUGUGUCCAAUUAUAUUAGCAAAAUAGAUUCACCCUGCUUCACUAAAUCAUAUGCAUAAAGACAAAACCAGGUGAUGCAUUAGACACAGAACUCAUCGAUGACUUGAAACAUCUUCAUGCAAUUAAAUGACCAGAUAAAUUAAAACUGUCAUUUUAUAAAACCAUUACAUUCUGCAAUGAAGAAUUCAUUUAAAGAUCUAAACAAUAAAAAAAAUUAAACAACUAGGAUGUAAGUAAAACUACUGAAUUUUCAAAUAUGCAAAUUCAACCAUCAUCCUUUUCACAUCACAGAUUAUACAAUUUUGAGUCCUUAUUUAGCAACGUGUCAUAAUACAAAGUCCAAACAAAGAUACUGCAGGACAAUUUUCAGACCAUUUAACACAGACACUAGACAUGACACUGACACUGACACAUCAACACCGGUAAAAAUUUGAAAAAAUGAAUUAACUAAUUGCAAUCAUGUGUAUCGUUUACCCCUGAUAAAAACUAAUCCCUUCCAUUAGCUCCAUUUCCGAAUCAAAUAAUAUCAGUUACCCUCGUAAAGGAAAAAAUAUCAUCAUCAAAUGUAUCAUGUGUUAAAUGAUCUGAAAACCGACCUCACAUUACUAUGACAGCAAAGUAUCCACACAUCUUCAAUUUAAGAUCUGAAAGGGAAUCUAAGCUAAGGGUCCACACAUUCCACUUCCAAACCAUGAAUCAAAUCAAAUCCAAAACAAAACAUAAACACACAUUCAAGAUUAGUAACUAACAAUUACUAUUUCCAACAAAUGUAAUAGUAAAACUAAAAAACAUAACAAAAACAAACAUAAUACAAACUAACUAACCAGAUCAAAGGCUAAAAAUAGCAACUUUUCUUUCUAAAAUUGUCAUGUACCUUCAUCAAAAUUACCUUCAUCAAAAUCAUUCAACUUCAAAGGCUUCUUAAUUGAUUCAAAUGGCUUCACUACACCUCCACCUCCACCACCACCACUUUUCCAACCUGAAAAAUCACCGGUCAACGGAAUGGAAGCCGAAAUUGGCAUCGGUGACAACGCCGGCUUACUUCCAGAUUCACUCUUUCUAGGCCUGCCCCUCUUCUUCUUCACCUCCACGCCACCGGCAACCGGCACCGGAGCCGGUAACUCUCCCGUGGACCCAGCAAAAUUCAACGUAUUUUGAGCUAAAUUGAAGCCAGGUGGGGCCUGGUUAACAUUAACAGCAUGCCCAGAACCAAAAAUCUCUCUUUCUUCCAUUUUUUCUCAGAAUCAAACCAAAACUAACACAACCCAAAAUCUAAAAAACUUCAAAAAUCAAAACUUGAAUGCAAAACUAAGAUACCCAGAAACACAAAAAUUUGUAACAACACAGAAAAGCUUCAAAAAUAUAAACUUUUUUAGAAAUGAUGAAAACCCAGAAGCAGAUUUUUCAAUUUUGAUGGAAAAAACUGAGAAAAACGUAACACUGUAGCUUAAACAUUCACCAUUGAAGAGAAAGAAAAAAGCUUCAAAAAUAAAAAUGAUUUUUUUUUUUUUUUUUGAAAAAAAAAUUGAAGUAAUACAGAGAAAAAACUACAACCCUAGUUUACAGAUUCUAAAGAGUGAUUUACGAGAAUUAGGGUUUGUAAGAAAAAGGUAGAGUAAAUAAAUAAAGUAGAAAACUAUAUAUAUAAUAAAUUAUAAAAUUAUUAUAAUGAAAAAAAUGAUAAAGUAAUUUUUUAGGUAAAAUAAUAAUUAUGAAAAAGUAAUUAAAGAAAAGGGAAUUAAUUAUUAAAUGAUAUAAUUUAAUUGGUGAAUUAAAAGAAUAAAUUUUGGUUAUGAAAAUGGUUCAUGUCCGUCUUGAAAAUUCAAUAAAGGUGUUUUAAUUUGUCUUGAAAAUUCAAUAAAGGCGUUUUAAUUUAAUAAAUGAAUUGAAUAUUAUAGUAGUAUAGUACUACUACUGGAUUUGAAUGCAUUAAAAUAAUAGGGAUAGUUUUGGAAAAGAAAGGAAAAAUGUUUAUUUUAAUAUAAGUUGUUGUUUGUUUAUUUAAUUCACCUUUUAAAAAAAAUCAAAAUUGUAAAGUUCGGUGGAGUUAAUGAACAUUAUUUCAAAUUCUGACAAGUUUUGUUUAGUUUUUUCAAUUAAAUCAAAGUUGUGAUAUGUAACCCCAAAAAAAAAAUAUUAAAAUUGACAAUAAAUGAAUAUUUCACCACAAAAAAAAAUAAGAAACCAAAAAAACAAAUUUUCUACGUAAAUUAAAGCUAUUCAUAUGUAAUCGACAAUCAAGAUCAACAGAAUAUGUCUUAAGACUCAGAUUCAACGAAUGUUAAUAUAUAUAUAUAUAUAUAUAUAUACAUACAUACAAAUCAUCUAUCGGAGAGUUUUGAUAAUCUUUUUUGUCCCUUUUUAUAAGACUCUUUUGGUAUUUUCAAUUACAUUAAAUAUUUCUUUACCACCAUACCCCUAUUUAUUUUGCAUAUUUUUCUUCAAUCAACCAUAAAUAUUAUAUUAAAAACAUAUACUAACUCUACCUUUAAGGAUAAAAUUGUAAAAACAAUACUACAUCCAUUCCUUUUUAAUUGUCACAUUUUGACAUUUUGCACAAACCAAGACAAUCAACAAUUGAUACUACUUUUAAUGUAAUAAGCUAUACUUUUACUAUAAUGACCUUAUUCAGUUAAUAUCUCAUUUCAUAUAUUUUUCUCUCCGCAAUAAAUAACUAAGGAUAAUAUUGAUAAAACAGCAUUUAACGUUGUAUUGAACUUUGAAAGUGACAGUUAAAUAGGAACAAAAAAUCUCUCCAAAAGUGACACUUAAAAAGGAACGGAGGGAGUAAUAUUUAUAAACAAAUUUAAUGCUAUAACCAACUUUCUCAAUUCCGGCAAUUUUGGAAAAAAAGGUUUUAUAAUUAGGACGGAGGUAGUAUGUUUUAAAAUCAUAUAUUCAAAUCCUUAAUAAUAUAAAACUGUUUUUUAAUGCAAAAUUUAUACUUUUAAAAUCUUUAUAAAUAUCCUUACGACAAGUUAGAAAUAUCCUUUUGAAUUUUUUUUGUUAGGUAUGUUUCCAAGUUUUGUAUUUUUUUCUUUUUUUUUAAUCUAUUUUAAAGCUUAUAAUAGAAAACCGUUUAAGAGUUUUAGAAAAAUAAAAUAAAAAAAUUAUUAUAUUAAAUUGAUUGAAUUGUCCUCCAAGUUAGGCGAAUCUACUAAAAAAUGCAUGCACCAACCUCCCUUUUUUUCUCCCACUGUUUUAGGUGCAUGAUGUUUUUCUUUUUUCCCCCUUUUUGCUUUUUUUUUUUUUUUUUAACAUUUUUGGGUUGACCGAAAUGCCUCUUACUUAAUAUCUACUCUUUCUUUUAUGGGAAAACCAAAAAAUUGAAGAUUUAAAAAAUAAAAGCAUGAAGACUUAAAACAUAAGAGUCUAUUAUGGAUUGUUAAACUUAUUCAUUCAAUAGAAGAGAGACUAUUAUUAUGGACGAAUUUCCAUAACAUAAACCAAUUUCAACUUUUACGUUUUCUUCCUUAAAAUAAAAACCUUACUUUUUCUUGUAAUUUAUUUUUAUUUAUAAAAUUUCUAAUGAAUGAUUGUAUUAUUUUUUUCACUAAUUGAAUGGAUUUUGAUUAAUAUACAAAUAGUAUAUGUUAACAAAUAUGAUAAUAUAAUAUUUAUGAAAGAUGUUAUUGAUGAUAUUCAAAAUAUUAGGAGUGUGACUCCCUAUGUCUCAGGUGUGUUUGGAUGGAGGGUUUAGGUGGGAGAAAAAGUGAAUGACUUACUUUUAAAAAAAAAUUAUAUACAAUAUAAACAAAAUUAAAUAAUUGAAAUAAUUACAUGAUAAAUGAUUAUAUAAUACUUCAAUCAAAGUCUUAGAACUUGGACAUAAAUCAAGUUUUGUAUGGAAAAUCAUAUUUACCGCUAAGAGAGUGGUACGAACUAGUGCUUGGUGGAAGAUUGGAUCGAGUCCGGAAAUUUUCAUUUUUUAUGCUCUGUGGUUAAAAGACGAGACUACGUAUUUCGGUAUAAGGUUAACCUCUCAUGAUGCUUCAAUAGACUAGAGUGCACACUCUGAUUACACGUAUGGAACCAUCAUUUGGUGAAUCAAUGUUGUGAUCAUGAUACGGCUGAGCACAUUUUGAAUACUCCUCUAAUCAAGUUAGUUGAAGAAGAAAAAUUAAUUUGGAAAGCAAUGAAGAAUGGUCAUUGUCAUACCCCAAAUUUUGACCACUUUUCUCUAUUCUUACCCAUUUUAUUCGUAUUUUUAAAGUCGGGAAUUUUCAUCAUUUUUGACGAAAUUUCGGUAGAGAUGUUACUUUGAAGUACCUCAUUUUUUGAUUCCGAGUCAGGCCCUCUUCCCUCUUUGUUUUUUUUUAUUUCGGUAUUUAAUUUCCACCUUUUAUUAGUUUUAAUUUUAGUUUUGAUUUUAAAAUUAGUUACUCUUUUUUAGUUUAUUUUAUGUUUUUGUGUUAUAAUGUCAAUGAGUCCAAAAAAUCCCAGCAAGGGUCCAAAAAAUAUAUUUUUUUCAUACGCCUCAUAUUCAGGCAGAUAGGCAGAUUCAUAGGGUCAAAUUUUUGUUUCCAAAACCAGUACAUGGUUGCUGUUUCUGCAACUUGUUUCCUUUUUCUCUUCAACCCUAAUGCUAUAAAAUCAAACUUGCAAAAAAGGAGAGAGGAGGCCGCACAAACUUUCACAGAGAAAUCAAUCAUUGGCAGCCGCUCAAUCAUCCUUGCAAACCCUAAUUUCCAUUUCUUUUUCCAGCGUAUACAAUCAACACCAAAAGAUCAAAAAAAAAUUAAAAGAUGAACACGUGAAGUUCAUCACCAACAACUCAUAAACAAAUUUCCAGAAUCACAAAACCAAAUCCAUCAAACAAUUUCAAUACUAUCACCAACAAACCGAACCGGCGCGGAAACCGAGCAAGCCAAAACAAGCUCGAAUCCACGGAGAAGAAAGAAACAGUGCGUGAAUCGGAGCAAACGGAACUGGAACAGCAAGUUUGAGGUAUCUAAGCUUGAAUCCGACUAAGAGAUAAGGUAAUAGAAGCUUCUUUCACGUUUGUUUUUUUAUCUUUGUUUUUGUUUGUUGUUUCAAAAAUAAUUCGAAUCUUCAAGCUUAGAUCUAGCCCAAAUCUCUCUACCCUUUUAAAAAAUAACUUCAAAAUCGUGUUUAGAAGGAGAAAGAGAAGAGGAUUGUAAAAAAAAAAAAUUAAAAAAAAUAAAGUUUAGUUUUCCGAUGCGGUGGCUCCGCUGCCGGAAACCAGCCGGCCGCCGCGUCGGACCACCUUCCUCCUUCUUCUCCGAC